rnacentral:lncRNA from 1 species
UGGGAAUCGCCUUCAUGGUGAUAUCUCAAGGAGAGAAUAGGGUGAGGCUUCAUGAUGUUGGUGCGCCUUCAUGGUAACAUCCAUCCCUCCGACAGAUACUCGAGUGUCGGUGGAUACUUGAACUUCGGUAACAAAUCGAUAGUCUCUUGUCCCCUUUACUUUCUGAAAUUCAUAAUUGCUAUUAUUGAUACAUCUUGUGCUCAGUGUGAAUUGUUAGCUUGUAACAUUCAUCUCCAUAUAUUGUGAUAUUAGUUGUGCAAUAUUGCUUACUUAUACUUGUGUAUAUCAUUCAUUUUCAUAUCUUGUGAUACUUGUGUAAACUCAUAUUGCUUACUUGUGCUUGCGUGUAUUAUGCAUUUUCAUAUCUUGUGUAAACUUGUAGGCUUACUUCUGCUUCCUAGUAUCCUCAUAGUGCUCAUCUUGUUUAUCUUACGUAGUUGGUGCAUUUAGUUGAGCCUAGUAUAUUUAGGAUUUGUGCUUGGAAAGUAUCUGCCUAGUUUUUUUUUUGUAUCAGGAUUAAGCCAAAUAUGUAAAAGUUUUAAGAUGCCUAUUCACCCCCUCUAGGCGACAUCUUGGUCCUUUCACCGGGCACUUCUGCCACGUCAGACCAGAAAAAUAGGACCCAUCUCAAAUUCCACCAAAUUGACCAAGUCCACCAAGUCCACCAAAUCCACUGUCCUCCUCCCACAUUUGUCCUCCAUUUCCCGUGUCUGAGUCAUUGCCAUUCUCCACCCUUUCUCCCCCAUCCUCCGUCCUCCAUCCUAGCUGUCAUCAUCAGGUAUCCCGCCCCCCCCCCCCACCGCUAGCCUGGAUGAUGCCUCGGUGUCGUUCGUGGGGAUGAACUGCAAGGCGGAGAACCUUGCCCGGAGGGAGUGGUGAAGGAAGUAGUGCGAGUUAGAAGCAAUAGCAAAGGAAGUACUGAUAAGGAGGUUGUGGAUAUCUGGGAGGAUGUGUCCCCUACACUGCACCAGGUCGCCCCGCGCACGUCCGCCCUGCCCCCGACAAGGAACCCACCGUUCGCACCGCUGAUGACUGAUGACAAUCCGACAUCCGAUUGGGCGAUUCUGGGUGGAUUUACGCAAUUGGAGGGACCGGAGAUGGUGUGCGACUCACCGCAACUACAAUGAGCGUGGACAAGCACGAGCAGCGCCGGCACCAGGUCUGCCUAAGUCAUGUUCAAUGGAAUGUUGCAGCAAAACACAAUACAUUUUUUGCUGCAUUUUGUAUCGCCUUGUUCGUUAUUCACUAUGCCAUUGGAUAAAUUCUUGCAUAUGUCAUCGGAUCAUUAGUAGCAUACCUCUAUGCUGGAAUCAUGAUCAUUUUAGGAUAAUAUCAUCUUUGACAUAAUCAAUGAGGGUCAAGAGCCUACAUACCCUAUGGGAUAUGACUUGGGCGAUAUUAAUUAUCCUACGUUCAAUGUUGGGGGAACAUCGUGCACUAGUAAGAAGAAAAUGGCAAAGAUACCCAAGGCAAGUGUUCUGACAUUCAAAACAUUUGAGGAUGUUUUGUUGGUUGAAUCCUGGUUGGACACAAACAUGGAUCCUAUAUGUGUCAUGAAGCAAAAGGGCAACAAAUAUUGAGAGAAGAUCCACAAGUACCAUGAAAACAAAGAAUAUAUGGAUGCGCGUCCUAUCAAUACCACCUGUAGUGUGACAUCUCUCCAACAUUGAGGGUCCAUCAUCCAAGUCAACACAAACAAGUUUGUCGGCCACUAUGCUUCUGUGCUUGGCUGGAAUCAAAGUGGGAUUGGAGCCACAAGUCACGUAAGUUGAAUUGCUUCAUUUUAUCAAAAUUUGCAUUGCUAUGUUGCAUUCACAUGAUUGCUUAUUGUUUGAUAGAUGGUGUUGGCAAUCACUUUAUACCAACAAACUCACAAUUAGCCAUUCCGCUUUAGCCAUUGUUGGAUGAAAUUGAAUGGCAAACCAAAAUGAAUAUAACUUGUGGAAGACCUCAAGACUGGCAACAAGAGAUUGAAGAAAAAUAAUGGCGCAAGCUCCCAGCAAUCCAUUGGAUUGGAUAAGGAAUAGGAAGAAGUUGUAGGGGAGAAUGGGCAAGCCACCAUGCCAAUGAAUAACUGACAAGUGAUGGGAAAUAAGUGGGAGAAGGGGAGGGUCGUCCGUGAUGCUGCGGCGACAGAAAUGUCAACCACGUGGACGGACAUUUUUCCACAAGGGGGGAGAAGAAAGAGGAGAGGUACAAACUCAUGUUGGAUGCACAAAAAGAGGAUGGAUUGGGACUGGGAGAGGGCGAAUAAUAAGUUGCAAAUUGAGAGGGACCAAAUAGAAUUGGAGAAGAAAGAGGUGUCAAAAAAGAGCUUGAGAAGGCCCGAACUUUUGGAGCAAUAGAGCUUGAUAAGGAGCUCUUGCAACUUCCUCCAGACACGGAAGAUUCGGGGAUAAUGUUGGCGGAUGAAAGCUUUUGGAUGUAGAAGGCAAGGAGAGGCUUGAGGUGGGAGUGGAGAAGGAGAUCAACCUUCAUAGGGUGUACGAGGCGGUGAGAGCAGCAACCGAAGAAGCAAAUACAUGGAUGGCGACCUUGGCAAAGAACGCGACACGGAUGGCGGCCGGUGAAGGUGAGUGAUUGAUCAUGUUGGCCAGCCUAGCUCGGACUUUGGAUUUUAUUUUGAUGUGUCUGGAUUCUUGAACUAUGAUUUAUUUGUUUUGUUGUAUUAUUGAAUUGUGAUGAUCUUUUGUUAUAUGAUCGACGUACAUGGAUUUAAAAGUUUGAUAUGUGGAUCAUGACUGUCCAGCAUGAUAUUUGAGGGACCGUCCGACAUUGUACGGGGUAAUGCACGAGCACUCCACAAAUAUUUAGAGGGUCGGAUUUCUUUUUAGGGAAUUUAGAGCAUCUAUAACCGGACCUCUUAAACCUGCCUCAUAAGCCUGGGCUGGCGCCCGAUCAUUGUCCGGUCAUGAUUUUUUGACCCAGACGGGCCCCUCAAACGACCCUCAAACACCCGGGCUGACCGGCACCCCUAUAUCCAAAUAUGGGGCGGAUAUGGGGGCGCCCGGGCGCGCCUGCCACGCCGACCUGACGGCAUGGCCCCACACGGAAAUGCCCGAAAACCCGGCAGUCCUACGGACGUUGCGUCCCUCGUCGCGGUGUGAACGUCACGUGGUGCCGCUCCCGCUCACUGCCCAAGACGAAAUCCUUCUAUUUAAGCUGGCCGGCAUCCCGCACUCCUAACCCAACCCCCUCUCCCCUCUCUGAGUUGUGAUACGUCUCCAACGUAUCUAUAAUUUUUGAUUGCUCCAUGCUACUUUAUCUACUGUUUUGGGCAAUAUUGGGCUUUAUUAUCCACUUUUAUAUUAUUUUUGGGACUAACCUAUUAACCGGAGGCCCAGCCCAGAUUUGCUGUUUUAUGCCUAUUUCAGUAUUUCGAGGAAAAGGAAUAUCAGACGGAGUCAAAACAGAACGAAAUCAACUAGAGAAGUUAUUUUUGGAAGGAAAGCAACCCAGGUAACUUGGAGUGCACGUCAGGGGAGAUACGGGCUGCCCACGAGGGUGGGGGGCGCGCCCACCCACCCCCCCCCCCCGGGCGCGCCCCCCUACCUCGUGGGGCCCCCGUAGCUCCACCGACGUACCCCUUUCACCCAUAUAUACCUACGUACCCUAAAACUUCCAGAACAGAAGAUAGAUCGGGAGUUCCGCCACCGCAAGCCUCUGUAGCCACCAAAAACCUCUCGGGAGCCCGUUCCGGCACCCUGCCGGAGGGGGAUCCCAUCACCGGUGGCCAUAUUCAUCAUCCCGGUGCUAUCCAUGACGAGGAGGGAGUAGUUCACCCUCGGGGCUGAGGGUAUGUACCAGUAGCUAUGUGUUUUGAUCUCUCUCUCUCGUGUUCCAUCUAUGGCACGAUAUUGAUGUAUCCCGAGCUUUGCUAUUGUAGUUGGAUCUUAUGAUGUUUCUCCCCCUCUACUCUCUUGUGAUGAAUUGAGUUUCCCCUUUGAAGUUAUCUUAUUGGAUUGAGUCUUUUAUGAGAACACUUGAUGUAUGUCUUGCCGUGAUUAUCUGUGGUGACAAUGGGAUAUCAUGUGCCACUUGAUGUAUGUUUUGGUGAUCAACUUGCGGGUUUCGUGACAUUGGGAACCUAUGCAUAGGGGUUGGCACACGUUCUUGACUCUCCGAUAGAAACUUUGGGGCACUCUUUGAAGUACUUUUAUGUUGGUUGGAUGAAUCUGAGAUUGUGUGAUGCAUAUCGUAUAAUCAUGCCCACGGAUACUUGAGGUGACAAUGGAGUAUCUAGGUGACAUUAGGGUUUUGGUCGAUUUGUGUCUUAAGGUGUUAUUCUAGUACGAACUCUUUUAUAGAUUGAUCCGAAAGAAUAACUUUGAGGUGGUUUCGUACCCUACCAAAAUCUCUACGUUUGUUCUCCGCUAUUAGUGGCUUUGGAGUGACUCUUUGUUGCAUGUUGAGGGCUUGUCAUAUUAUCUAUCUAUGUUAUUGUUGUUGAGAGAACUUGCACUAGUGAAAGUAUGAACCCUAGGCCUUGUUUCCUAUCAUUGCAAUACCGUUUACGCUCACUUUUAUCAUUAGUUACCUUGCUGUUUUUAUUAUUUCAGAUUACAAAUACCUUUAUCUACUAUCUAUUUUGCACUUGUAUCACCAUCUCUUCGCCGAACUAGUGCACCUAUACAAUUUACCAUUGUAUUGGGUGUGUUGGGGACACAAGAGACUCUUUGUUAUUUGGUUGCAGGGUUGUUUGAGAGAGACCAUCUUCAUCCUACGCCUCCUACGGAUUGAUAAACCUUAGGUCAUCCACUUGAGGGAAAUUUGCUACUGUCCUACAAACCUGUGCACUUGCAGGCCCAACAACGUCUACAAGAAGAAGGUUGUGUAGUAGACAUCAAGCUCUUUUCUGGCGCCGUUGCCGGGGUGGUGAGUGCUUGAAGGUAUAUCUUUAGAUCUUGCAAUCGAAUCUUUUUGUUUCUUGUUUUAGCACUAGUCUAGUUUAUGAAAGAAAAUUACAAAAAAAUGGAGUUAAGUUUGUCUCAUACACUUCACCUUUUUCAUAUCUUUUGUGAGUAUGAUGGAAAGGAUAAUUGUGAUCAAGUGCUAGAAGAAGAAAUCUCUAAAUUGUUUGGCACUAAAUCUUUGAAUGAUGAGCACGAUUGCAAUGUUGUUAGUACGAAUUCUUUGAAUAUCCAUGAUGCUAAUGAUGAUUGCACUAGUUAUGAUGAAAAUGCCUCCUAUAAGCAUGUCAAUUUUUGUGGAGUGCAUUGGGCUUGCAAGGACACACCAAAUAGGGAAGAUAGAUAUUGCAAGAGGCAUAAGUACUUAGAAACUAAAUGGUUGCAAGAAAGGCUAGAUGCAUGUGCUGAAAAUUUAUUUUUUCUUAGCCAUACUUGUGAACUUUGCAAUGAACGUGAUCAUUUUAGUACCCAAUGCAAAUUGUUUCAUGAUCGUAUCGUGUCCAAAAAUUGUGAUGACUUGAUUUCCCUUGCACAUCAUAACGAGCUUAGUUUGCUCUUGGGUUAUGAAGAAAUAAAACGUAUAACUAAGAUUAUUCCAGAAUUUUCCCUUGAUAGAAUUCUUCAUUUUGAUGUAGAAGAAAUUUAUAUGUAUUGUGCGGUGAAUUGCAUUGAAAAUCCUUAUAUUGCCAAUUACAUAAAGAAAAGAAAACAAAUAGAAGAUGAAAAGAAUACUAAUGAAAGGGAAGAGACUUCCCAAUAUCCUCCUAUUAUUUCUUAUGAUGAAUCAGGUAACGAGGAGGAGCUUUCUAUUCAGCCAAUCUCAUCUAUAAGGAGCUCAAAGAGGAAGGUUGAACCCACACAUAAUGUGAAGAAGAAAAAGAAAAUAAGGAGCAACAAAGGUAUAAAGGUAUCCCUCCCAAAUGAUGUUGCUCCUACUACUCAUUGUGAUGAUGAUAAUUGCUAUACCGUUGGUGCUAUCAAUAUUUUUAAUGAUGAGAGUGAUUAUGCUUAUGAUAUGAAAGAGCCCAAGCUUGGGGAAGCUAUGUUUGAUGAGGAUGAAAUAUUUGAGGAUUUAUUUGCUGAAAUUAAUGUUUGUCCCAAGCUUGGGGAUGCUAUGUUUAAUGAAGAUGAUAUUUUUAGCAUCCCAAGUUUUGAUAUGCAAAGUUGUUAUGAUGAUAGCAUGCCUCCUACGUAUGAUGAUUAUAUUGAUGAAAGUGGGUUUGGAAGAGUGUCAACUUUAUGAAGUAGUGAUCCCACUAUUUUGGAGGAUGUUGAAUUUUGUUGUGAUGAAUAUGAAAGUGGAUUUGGAAGAGUGUCAACUUUAUUUAGUGAUUCCACUAUCUUGGGAGAGGUUUCAAUCGAUUAUGAUGAGAACGAAGUUGCUACUUAUGAUGAUUAUUGAGAUGCAACUUAUGCUAUAAAAAGUAGUGAUGAUUAUAUUUACAAAUCUUGUCAUGAUUAUGAUUACCCUUUUUCUGAACAUUACUCUUUUAAUGUGGAAACAAUUUUUAGUGUUCAAGUCUCUUAUGAUACUCCCACUAUUCCGAAUGAGAAGAAUUUUGCUUAUGUGGAGAGUAGUAAAUUUUCUAUGCUUGUAGAUCAUGAAAAUAAUGUUUUAGGUGCUGGUUAUAUUGUUGAAUUCAUUCAUGAUGCUACUGAAAAUUAUUAUGAGGGAGGAACAUAUGCUUGUAGGAAUUGCAAUAAUAUCAAGUUUCCUCUCUAUGUGCUUCAAGUUUUGAAGCUAUGCUUGUUUUACCUUCCUAUGCUAAUUGAUUAUUGUUCCCAUAAGUUGUUUGCUCACAAAAUCCCUAUGCAUAGGAAGUGGGUUAGACUUAAAUGUGCUAGUCAUAUGCUUCAUGAUGCUUCCGUUAUGUUUCAAUUCUUAUCUUUUAUGUGAGCAUCAUCAUCAUCAUCAUGCCUAGCUAGAAAGGCAUUAAAGAAAAGCGCUUGUUGGGAGACAACCCAAUAUUUAUCUUUACUGUUUUUGUGUGUUCACAUGAUUAUUCUACUGUAGUAAUCAUGUUUUAUAGCUUUUUAUUCAAUAAAGUGCCAAGUAAGACCUUUAGGAUGGCUUACGAUGAUAGUUGUGUUGAUCCUGCUGAAAAUCGGAAACUUUUGCACCCAGUAAAUUAGUUUUGUUUAUUCACAGAAACGUGCUUCUGAUCUGAUUCUUUUUGCUCUGGAUUGGUACACAAAUUUCUUAGGACUUCCUAAUUUGGUAGGAUUUUUGUAGUUCCAGAAGUAUACGUUUGAUACAGAUUGCUACAGACUGUUCUGUUUUUGACAGAUUCUGUUUUCUAUGUGUUGUUUGCUUAUUUUUGAUGACUCUAUGGCUAGUAAAAUAGUGUAUGAACCAUAGACAAGUUGAAGUACAGUAGAUAUUACACCCAUAUGAAUUUAUAAUGAGUUCAUUACAGUACCUAAGUGGUUGUUUUAUUUUCUUAUACUAAUGGAGCUUACGAGUUUUCUGUUGAGUUUUGUGUUGUGGAGUUUUCAAGUUUUGGGUAAAGACUCGAUGGACUAUGGAAUAAGGACAACCAAGAGCCUAAGCUUGGGUAUGCCCAUGGCACCCCAAGGUAAUAUUCAAGGACAACCAAGAGCCUAAGCUUGGGGAUGCCCCGGAUGGCAUCCCCUCUUUCGUCUUCGUUCAUCGGUAACUUUACUUGGAGCUAUAUUUUUAUUCACCACAUGAUAUGUGUUUUGCUUGGAGCGUCAAUUUAUUCUGUUAGUUUUUGCUUCCUGUUAUUUAGAUUAGUGUUUUUCAUCUUUAGUUUCAAUAAAGAAGUCAAGGAUAGCCUUUGCCAUGCUUAUUUUGCUAGUAUACAUGUUGCUGUUUGAAAACAGAAAGUUUACCGCUGUUGCAAAAAUCCCCUAGAAAAGUCAGAGAGUGGUAUAAUGUUGAAUCUUUUUACAUAUUGAGCUCUGAUAAAUUUAUUACAGUGGGAAUUUUAGUUCAUAAUGUUUGGAGUCAGGGAAGUAUUGAUACUCUUGCAUUCUUUACAGACUGUACUGUUUUGGCAGAUUGCUGUUAUGGUUGCAUUGUUUGCACAUGUUUGCUUGAUUAAUGAUCCUAUUUGAGGAUAGGAGUAUUAAAUAUGCAGAGACAUUUGGUAUGAAAUGUUUAAUAAUAAUUUUAGUGAUUUGUUACAGUAGAAAAUGAUAAGGUUUUGCAUUGGUUUAUACUAACCUAUCUCACGAGUUUUUGUUGAGUUUGUUGUGAAUGAAGCUUUUGAUAAAAAGAGAAACCAUGAUAUGAGAGGAAUUAAGGAGACAUAAAAGUUCAAGCUUGGGGAUGCCCAAGGCACCCCAAGAUAAUAUUUCAAGAAGUCUCAAGCAUCUAAGCUUGGGGAUGCCCCGGUAGGCAUCCCACCUUUCUUCUUCAACAACUAUCGGUUAGUAUCGGUUGAGCCUAAGUUUUUGCUUCUUCACAUGAGUUGUGCUAUCCUUGCAAUGUAGUUUUCUUUAGCUUUGCUUGCUGUUUGAAUAAAGUAUCAAGAUCUGAAAUUCUUAAAUGAGAGAGAGUCUUCAUAUAGUUGCAUAAUUAUUUAGCUACUCAUUGACCUUCACUUAUAUCUUUCGGAGUAGUUUGUCAUUUGCUCUAGUGCUUCACUUAUACCUUUUAGAGCAUGGUGGUAGUUUUACUUUGAAGAAACAGAUGAACUCUCAUGCUUCACUUAGAUUAUUUUGAGAUUCGUUAAUAGCAUGGUAAUUUGCUUAAUAUUAAUAUACUUGGUAUUCAAGAUAUGUGAAACUUUCUUUUGAGUGAAUUGAAUACUAAGAUAAGUUUGAUGCUUGAUAAUUGUUUUGAGAUAUGGAGGUGAUAAUAUCAAAGUCGUGCUAGUUGGGUGAUUAUGAAUUCAAAGAAAUGCUUGUGUUGAAGUUUGCAAGUCCGUAGCAUGCACGUAUGGUUAAAGUUGUGUAACAAAUUUGAAACAUGAAGUGUACCUGGCUUGUGCAUCCUUAUGAGUGGCGGUCGGGGACGAGCGAUGGUCUUUUCCUACCAAUCUAUCCCCCUAGGAGCAUGCGCGUAGUACUUGAUUUUUGAUGACUUCUAAAUUUUUGCAAUAAGUAUAUGAGUUCUUUUGACUAAUGUUGAGUCCAUGGAUUAUACGCACUCUCACAUUUCCGCCAUUGCUAGCCUCUUCGGUACCGUGCAUUGCCCUUUCUCACCUUGAGAGUUGGUGCAAACUUCGCCGGUGCAUCCAAACCCCGUGAUACGAUACGCUCUAUCACACAUAAACCUCCUUAUAUCUUCCUCAAAACAGCCACCAUACCUACCUAUCAUGGCAUUUCCAUAGCCAUUCCGAGAUAUAUUGCCAUGCAACUUCCAUCAUCAUCAUCAUGACAUACAUUACUUUUGUCAUAUUGCCAUUGCAUGAUCAUGUAGUUGACAUCGUAUUUGUGGCAAAGCCACCAUGCAUUAUUUUUCAUACAUGUCACUCUUGAUUCAUUGCACCAUCCCGGUACACCGCCGGAGGCAUUCAUAUAGAGUCAUAUCUUGUUCUAGUUUCGAGUUGUAAUCCUUAUGUUGUAAUCAAUAGAAGUGUGAUGAUCAUCAUUAUUAGAGCAUUGCCCAAAAAAAGGAGAAAGGCCAAAGAAAAAAAAGGAAGGCCCAAAAAAAAGGGGCAAUGCUACUAUCUCUUUUUCCACACUUGUGCUUCAAAGUAGCACCUUGUUCCUCAUGUAGUGAGUCUCAUAUAUUGUGCUUCAAAGUAGCACCUUGUUCUUCAUGUAGUGAGUCUCAUAAGUUGUCUUUUUAUACUAGUGGGAAUUUUUCAUUAUAGAACUUGGCUUGUAUAUUCCUAUGAUGGGCUUCCUCAAAUGCCCUAGGUCUUCGUGAGCAAGCGAGUUGGAUGCACACCCACUAGUUUUCUUUUGUUGAGCAUUCAUAGCUCUAGUGCAUCCGUUGCAUGGCAAUCCCUACUCCUCAUGUUGACAUCAAUUGAUGGGCAUCUCCAUAGCCCGUUGAUUAGCCUCGUCAAUGUGAGACUUUCUCCUUUUUUGUCUUCUCCACACAAUCCCCAUCAUCAUAUUCUAUUCCACCCAUGGUGCUAUAUCCAUGGCUCGCGCUCAUGUAUUGCGUGAAGGUUGAAAAAGUUUGAGAUUAUUUGAGUAUGAAACAAUUGCUUGGCUUGUCAUCGGGGGUAUAGAAGUUGGGAACAUCUUUGUGUGACGAAAAUGAAGCAUAGCCUAACUAUAUGAUUUUGUAGGGAUGAACUUUCUUUUGCCAUGCUAUUUCGAGAAGACAUGAUUACUUUUAUUAGUAUGCUUGAAGUAUUACUAUUUUUGUGCCAAUAUGAACUUUUGUCUUGAAUCUUUCGGAUCUGAAUAUUCAUGCCACAAUUAAGAAGAUUUACAUUGAAAUUAUGCCAAAGUAUCACUCAGCAUCAAAAAUUCUUUUUUAUCAUUUACCUACUCGAGGACGAGCAGGAAUUAAGCUUGGGGAUGCUUGAUACGUCUCCAACGUGUCUAUAAUUUUUGAUUGCUCCAUGCUACUUUACCUACUGUUUUGGGCAAUAUUGGGCUUUAUUAUCCACUUUUAUAUUAUUUUUGGGACUAACCUAUUAACCGGAGGCCCAGCCCAGAUUUGUUGUUUUAUGCCUAUUUCGGUAUUUCGAGGAAAAGGAAUAUCAGACGGAGUCAAAACAGAACGAAAUCAACUGGAGAAGUUAUUUUUGGAAGGAAAGCAACCCAGGGAACUUGGAGUGCACGUCAGGGGAGAUACGGGCUGCCCACGAGGGUUGGGGGCGCGCCCCCUACCUCGUGGGGCCCCGUAGCUCCACCGACGUACCCCUUUCACCCAUAUAUACGUACGUACCCUAAAACUUCCAGAACAGAAGAUAGAUCGGGAGUUCCGCCGCCGCAAGCUUCUGUAGCCACCAAAAACCUCUCGGGAGCCUGUUCCGGCACCCUGCCGGAGGGGGAUCCCAUCACCGGUGGCCAUCUUCAUCAUCCCGGCGCUAUCCAUGACGAGGAGGGAGUAGUUCACCCUCGGGGCUGAGGGUAUGUACCAGUAGCUAUGUGUUUUGAUCUCUCUCUCUCGUGUUCUCUCUCGUGUUCCAUCUAUGGCACGAUCUUGAUGUAUCCCGAUCUUUGCUAUUGUAGUUGGAUCUUAUGAUGUUUCUCCCCCUCUACUCUCUUGUGAUGAAUUGAGUUUCCCCUUUGAAGUUAUCUUAUUGGAUUGAGUCUUUUAUGAGAACACUUGAUGUAUGUCUUGCCGUGAUUAUCUGUGGUGACAAUGGGAUAUCAUGUGACACUUGAUGUAUGUUUUGGUGAUCAACUUGCGGGUUUCGUGACAUUGGGAACCUAUGCAUAGGGGUUGGCACACGUUCUUGACUCUCCGAUAGAAACUUUGGGGCACUCUUUGAAGUACUUUUAUGUUGGUUGGAUGAAUCUGAGAUUGUGUGAUGCAUAUCGUAUAAUCAUGCCCACGGAUACUUGAGGUGACAAUGGAGUAUCUAGGUGACAUUAGGGUUUUGGUUGAUUUGUGUCUUAAGGUGUUAUUCUAGUACGAACUCUUUUAUAGAUUGAUCCGAAAGAAUAACUUUGAGGUGGUUUCGUACCCUACCAAAAUCUCUACGUUUGUUCUCCGCUAUUAGUGGCUUUGGAGUGACUCUUUGUUGCAUGUUGAGGGCUUGUCAUAUUAUCUAUCUAUGUUAUUAUUGUUGAGAGAACUUGCACUAGUGAAAGUAUGAACCCUAGGCCUUGUUUCCUAUCAUUGCAAUACCGUUUACGCUCACUUUUAUCAUUAGUUACCUUGCUGUUUUUAUUAUUUCAGAUUACAAAUACCUUUAUCUACUAUCUAUUUUGCACUUGUAUCACCAUCUCUUCGCCGAACUAGUGCACCUAUACAAUUUACCAUUGUAUUGGGUGUGUUGGGGACACAAGAGACUCUUUGUUAUUUGGUUGCAGGGUUGUUUGAGAGAGACCAUCUUCAUCCUACGCCUCCUACGGAUUGAUAAACCUUAGGUCAUCCACUUGAGGGAAAUUUGCUACUGUCCUACAAACCUGUGCACUUGCAGGCCCAUCAACGUCUACAAGAAGAAGGUUGUGUAGUAGACAUCACGUUGCCAGUCCGAGCCCAUCCACCUCCCCCCUCUCCCGCUCCAACACUUUGUUCACGCUACGACACUCCACCAUGGUCCAGAGCAAGAUCACCUACUAUGCCGUGAUGACGCCGGAGCGUCGCUACGAGAAAGUCGUGCGCGCCGCCCGCAUCGCUGGCGGGCUGUCUCCGGACUCGUCGGAGCCGGAGGAGGAGGAGCAGCCGGGGGAAGAGGGGGAGGAUGAGGAGAUGACUCCAAUGGAGGUGGAGGACGCGGAGGCGGCGGAGGAGCCGGACCAACAGGUGCCAGCCUACAACAUGGAGCAGGCGGAGGCGAAGUUCGCCAUCGUCCAGUCCGACGAGAUGGCUGAUGACCCACAAGUACAGGGGAUCUAUCAUAGUCCUUUCAAUAAGUAAGAGUGUCAAACCCAACGAGGAGCGGAAGGAAAUGACAAGCGGUUUUCACCAAGGUAUUCUCUGCAAGCACUGAAAUUAUCGGUAACAGAUGGUUAUGUAUAAGAUAAUUCGUAACGGGUAACAAGUAACAAAAGUAACUAAGGUGUAGCAAGGUGGCCAAUCCUUUUUGUAGCAAAGGACAAGCCUGGACGAACUCUUAUAUAAAGCAAAGCGCUCCCGAGGACACAUGGGAAUUACUGGCAAGCUAGUUUUCAUCAUGCUCAUAUGAUUCGCGUUCGUUACUUUGAUAAUUUGAUAUGUGUGUGGACCGAUGCUUGGGUGCUGCCCUUCCUUGGACAAACCUCCCACUUAUGAUUAAGCCCUCUCGCAAGCAUCCGCAACUACGAAAGAAGAAUUAAGAUAAAUCUAAGCAUAACAUGAAACAUAUGGAUCCAAAUCAGCCCCUUACGAAGCAACGCAUAAACUAGGGUUUAAGCUUCUGUCACUCUAGCAACCCGCCAUCUACUUAUUACUUCCCAAUGCCUUCCCCUAGGCCCAAAUCAUGGUGAAGUGUCAUGUAGUUGACAUUCACAUAACACCACUAGAGGAGAGACAACAUACAUCUCAUCAAAAUAUCGAACAAACACCAAAUUCACAUGAUUACUUAUAACAAGACUUCUCCCAUGUCCUUAGGAACAAACGUAACUACUCACAAAGCAUAUUCAUGUUCAUAAUCAGAGGAGUAUUAAUUAUCAUUAAGGAUCUGAACAUAUGAUCUUCCACCGAAUAAACCAACUAGCAUCAACUACAAGGAGUAAUCAACACUACUAGCAACCCACAGGUACCAAUCUGAUGUUUUGAGACAGAGAUCGGAUACAAAAGAUGAACUAGGGUUUGAGAGGAGAUGGUGCUGGUGAAGACGUUGAUGGAGAUUGACCUCCUCUCGAUGAGAGGAUCGUUGGUAAUGACGAUGGCUUCNNNNNNNNNNNNNNNNNNNNNNNNNNNNNNNNNNNNNNNNNNNNNNNNNNNNNNNNNNNNNNNNNNNNNNNNNNNNNNNNNNNNNNNNNNNNNNNNNNNNNNNNNNNNNNNNNNNNNNNNNNNNNNNNNNNNNNNNNNNNNNNNNNNNNNNNNNNNNNNNNNNNNNNNNNNNNNNNNNNNNNNNNNNNNNNNNNNNNNNNNNNNNNNNNNNNNNNNNNNNNNNNNNNAAAGUUUCCCCGGCAGAACAACUCCGUCGGAGCCCUAGAUUAAAUGGUUCUGCCCAGGUUCCGCCUCGAGACGGUGGCGCUUCGUCCCGAAAGCUUCCUUCUGAUUUUUUUUCCAGGUCAAAACACACCAUAUAGCAGAAGAUGGGCAUCGGGGGCCUGCCAGGUGGCCCGCAAGGCAGGGGGCGCGCCCCCCACCCUUGUGGAUGGCAGGUGGCCCCCCUCUGGUGCUUUCUUCGCCCAAUAUUUUUUAUUAAAUCCAAAAUGACUCUCCGUGAAGUUUCAGGACUUUUGGAGUUGUGCAGAAUAGGUCUCUAAUGUUUGCUCCUUUUCCAGCACAGAAUUCCAGCUGUCGGCAUUCUCCCUCUUCAUGUAAACCUUGUAAAAUAAGAGAGAGAGAAGGCAUAAGUAUUGUGCUAGAGUGUGUAAUAACAUCCCAUAAUGCAAUAAAUAUCAAUAUAAAAGCAUGAUGCAAAAUGGACGUAUCAACUCCCCUAAGCUUAGACCUCGCUUGUACUCAAGCGAAAGUCAAAAUCGAAAAAUAUGUCCACAUGUUUAGAGAUAGAGGUGUCGAUAAAAUAAAAUAUGGACAUGAGGGCAUCAUGAUCACCUUUAGAACAGCAACAUAUAUUGUCAUAUAAUUUCUUUAUGCCAAAGUAACAAUUCAUUCACAAGGUAAAGUAUGAAUCAAAAACUUCAUUGAAAACUAACAAACUAUGAUCUUAGUCAAUGAAGAAAUUAGAAUUUAUCAUAACAUCAGAAAGAGUCAAUUUGAAAGCUUUUUAGAAGUCCACAUACUCAACUAUCAUUUAGUCUUUCACAAUUGCUAACACUCACGCGAUACUUAUGGGUCCAAAGCUUCAAUCGGACACAGAGAAAUAUAGGGGCUUAUAGCUUCACCUCGCAACCUUUUACCUCAAGGGUAAUAUCAAUAAUAAUACUUUAUGAUAACCUACAUCUGAGUGGAUAUAUAUAUAUAUAUAUAUAUAUAUAUAUAUAUAUAUAUAUAUAUAUAUAUGGAUCUCUCCAACACAUAGUGCUUGCCAAAAGGAAAAAAGUGUAAAAAGGAAAGGUGAAGAUCACCAUGACUCUUGUAUAAGGGUAGAAGAUAAAAGUAAAAGAUAGGCCCUUCGCAGAGGGAAGCAGAGGUUGUCAUGCGCUUUUAUGGUUGGAUGCACAAAAUCUUAAGGCAAAAGAACGUCACUUUAUAUUGCCGCUUGUGAUAAAGAACUUUAUUAUGCAGUCUGUCGCUUUUAUUUCUGCCAUGUCACAAGUUCGUAUAAAGCUUAUUUUCUUCACACUAAUAGAUCAUACAUAAUUAAAGAGCAAUUUUUAUUACUUGCACUGAUGACAACUUACUUAAAGGAUCUUACUCAAUCCAUAGGUAGGUAUGGUGGACUCUCAUGGCAAAAAUAGUUUAAGGGAUGUUUGGAUGCACAAGUAGUAUCUCUACUUGGUGCAAAGGAUUUGGCUAGCAUAAGAGGGAAAAGCAAGCUCAACAUGUUGGAGGAUCCAUGACAAUAUAACUUGUAUUCGGAUAUAAGAAAACAUAACCCAUUAUGUUGUCUUCCUUGUCGAACCUCAACUUUUUAGCAUGUCAUGUUUUAAUGAGUGAUCACAAUUACAAAAGAUGUCCAAGAUAGUAUAUUUAUAUGUAAAACCUCUCUUUUCUUUAUUAUUUCCUAUUAAUUGCAACAAUGACCAAAACUAUGUUUGUCAACUCUCUCAACAACUUUUAUUCAUCAUACUUUUUAUAUGUGAAGUCAUUACUCUCCAUAAGAUCAAUAUAUGAUCUUUUUAUUUCUUUUUAUUCUUUCUUUAAAUCCCUCAAGAUCAUAACAAGAAAGCAAAACCCUUAACUCAAAACUACUCUUUAUCAUAUAGCUCACGGACUCGAUUACAUAGAUAGAUCUCGAAACAAAACUCAAAGCUAGAUCAUACUGAAUUUUUUUUGUUCUACUAGAUCAAGAUAUAACUAAAAGGAUCGGACUAAGAAAAGGAUAAAAGUAAAUAUGUGAUGGUGAUACGAUACCGGGGCACCUCCCCCAAGCUUGGCAGUUGCCAAGGGGAGUGCCCAUACCCAUGUAUUUAUGUCUUUUUCUUCGGAGGUGGUGAUGAUGGAAUUGUUGAUGUAGUAGGCUUGUCAUCCAUCUUCCAAGACAUAGGCUCGCCAUCAUAGAAAGAUGAACGAGUCUCCGGGAUCCUCAAAUCUGCAGCCAAACUCAUCCUCUUAAAUCUGUAUUCAUACUCAUAGUUUUGUUUUGCGGGUGAUAGGUCUAGGCUUGGAGAUGCUCGAUUUUCUCAUGAAGCUUGAAGAUGGCCUCCCCGACGUUCUUGGCAUCCAGCUUGUGGCUGUUGGUGAACUCCGCGAUGAUCAAGUGAUUGGCGUUGAGUCCACGUUCCACCAUCCCUUGACACUUGAAAACUUGCUGCUCCAUUGCUUUGAGUCUUGUCUCCACGCUUCCGGUCUUCUUUGGCCCCUCAACAUCGCGGAUGUGCAGCACCCCCUCACGCAUCUCAAUGGUUUGAGGGUGUUGCAGCACCUCCGCAAGGUAGGGGUUGAUGACCUUCUCGAAAAACUUGUCCUUGGGGGCGCUUGGAGACGUCAUGGUGAUCUAGAUCUGUCAGAAAAACAACUCGAAACAAGAACAGAGGAUUUUGUCGUGGUACGGUGGUCAAAACCUUCAGGAGAUUAUAUAAUUAAUUUUUACCGACCAAAAGAAGUAUUGUGCAAGAAAACAGAGUCCAGAGGGCACACGAGGUGGCCACAAGGCAGGGGGCGCGCCCAAGGGGUAGGGCACGCCCUCCACCCUUGUGGUCUCCUCGUGUCUCUUUUGGACUGCUUUUAAUUUUCCUAUUUUUUAAAAUAUUCCAAAACGGAGAAAAAUUGCUAUUAGAACAGUUUUGGAGUCGGUUUACUUACCGUACCACAUACCUAUUCCUUUUUGGAGUCUGAAACGUCGUGGAAAGUAUCCCUUAUGUACUCCUCCGGUGUUAUGGUAUUAAUUAUAUUUGUCUCAACAUUUAUGGGAGUACCUGAGAUAUAAUGUUUGAUUCUUUGACCGUUUACCACCUUCGGAUUUGUGCCUUCGGCGCUAUUUUGAUGGCACGGGAAUGAUAGACCUCCUCGAUAAUGUAAGGACCUUCCCAUUUAGAAAGAAGCUUUCCUGCAAAAAAUCUUAAACGAGAGUUGUAUAGCAAAACAUGAUCACCUACAUUAAACUCACGCUUUUGUAUCCUUUUGUCAUGCCAUCUUUUAACUUUUUCUUUAAACAACUUGGCAUUCUCAUAGGCUUGGGUUCUCCAUUCAUCAAGCGAGCUAAUGUCAAAUAACCUCUUCUCACCGACAAGUUUGAAAUCAUAGUUGAGCUCUUUGAUUGCCCAAUAAGCUUUAUGUUCUCGUUCAAGAGGUAAGUGACAAGCCUUUCCAUAAACCACUUUAUAUGGAGACAUACCCAUAGGAUUUUUAUAAGCAGUUCUAUAGGCCCAUAAUGCAUCAUCAAGUUUCUUAGACCAAUUCUUUCUAGAUCUAUUAAUAGUCUUUUGCAAAAUCAAUUUAAUCUCUCUAUUGCUCAACUCUACUUGACCACUAGACUGAGCAUGAUAUGGAGAUGCAAUUCUAUGGUUGACAUCAUAUUUAGCAAGCAAUUUACGGAAAGCACCAUGAAUAAAAUGUGAACCACCAUCGGUCAUUAAAUAUCUAGGGACUCCAAACCUCAGGAAAAUAACUUCUUUAAGCAUUUUAAUAGAGGUGUUAUGAUCAUCACCUACUAGUUGGAAUAGCUUCUACCUACUUAGUAACGUAAUCAACAACAACUAAAAUGUGUGUAUACCCAUUAGAGGAAGGAAAAGGUCCCAUAUAAUCAAAGCCCCAACCAUCAAAUAGUUCAAUAGAAAGUGAAUAAUUCAUAGGCAUUUCCUGACGUCUACUAAUAUUACCAAUUCUCUGACAUUCAUCACAAGACAAGACAAACUUACGAGCAUCAUUGAAGAGAGUAGGCCAAUAAAAACCAGAUUGCAAUACCUUGUGUGCAGUUCUAUCUCCAACAUGGUGUCCUCCGUAAGAAUCGAAGUGGUACUUGCGUAGGAUAUGUUCCUGGUCAUGCUCAGGUACACAACGUCUAAUAACACCAUCUACUCCUUCUUUAUAAAGGUGUGGGUCCUCCCAAAAGUACUGUGUUAAAUCAUAGAAAAACUUUUUCUUUUGAUGGUAAGUGAAACUAGGUGGUAUAAAUUUAGCAACAAUGUAAUUAGCAUAAUCGGCAUACCAUGGAGUAUUACGAGAAGCAUUUAUGACAGCUAAUUGCUCAUUAGGGAAACUAUCAUCAGUAGGCAGUGGGUCAUCAAUAACAUUCUCUAACCUAGACAAGUUGUCUGCAACGGGGUUCUCAGCUCCUUUUCUAUCAAUAAUAUCAAAAUCAAAUUCUUGCAGCAAGAGAACCCAUCUAAUAAGUCUAGGUUUAGCAUCUUUCUUUUCCAUAAGAUAUUUAAUAGCAGCAUGAUUAGUGUGAACAGUUACUUUGGAAUCAACAAUAUAAGAUCUGAACUUAUCACAAGCAAAAACAACUACUAAAAAUUCUUUUUCAGUAGUAGCAUAAUUUCUCUGGGCACUGUCUAGAGUUUUACUAGCAUAAUGGGUAACAUUCAAUUUCUUAUCAACUCUUUGCCCUAGAACAGCUCCAACAGCAUAAUCACUAGCAUCACACAUAAUUUCAAAGGGUAAAUUCCAAUCAGGUGGCUGAACUAUAGGAGCAGAGAUCAAGGCUUUCUUAAGUAUUUCAUAUGCUUCUACACAAUCAUCAUCAAAAACAAAAGGAACAUCUUUUUGCAAGAGAUUAGUGAGAGGCCUAGAAAUUUUAGAGAAGUCUUUAAUAAACCUCUUAUAGAAACCAGCAUGACCAAGGAAAUUUCUUAUACCUUUGAUAUCUUUAGGACACAACAUCUUUUCAAUAGCGUCUACUUUAGCUUUAUCCACUUCAAUACCUCUUUUAGACAUUUUAUGCCCCAAGACAAUACCUUCAUUAACCAUAAAGUGGCACUUCUCCCAAUUGAAAACAAGAUUAGUUUCUUCACAUCUCUGCAAAACUCGAUCAAGGUCGCUUAAGCAAUCAUCAAAAGAAGUUCCGUAAACGGAGAAAUCAUCCAUGAAAACCUCAACAAUCUUUUCACAAAAGUCAGAGAAUAUAGCAGUCAUACAUCUUUGAAAAGUAGCAGGUGCAUUGCAUAAACCAAAAGACAUACAUCUAUAAGCAAAAGUACCGAAAGGGUAAGUAAAAGUGGUCUUUUCUUGGUCCUCUUUUGACACAGGUAUUUGAGAAAAACCAGAAUAACCAUCUAGAAAGCAAAAAUGUGUAUGUCUGGAUAGUCUUUCUAGCAUUUGAUCAAUGAAAGGUAAAGGGUAAUGAUCUUUUCUAGUAGCUUUGUUUAAUUUGCAAAAAUCAAUUACCAUUCUAUAACUUGUAACAACUCUUUGUGGAAUUAAUUCAUUCUUAUCGUUGGGAACAACAGUAGUACCUCCCUUCUUAGGGACACAAUGAACGGGACUUACCCAUCUACUAUCAGCAAUAGGAUAAAUUAUACCUGCCUCCAAAAGCUUUAGUAUUUCAUUUCUUGCCACUUCUUUCAUCUUAGGAUUUAACCGUCGUUGGUGAUCAACAACUGGUUUAGCAUCAAGCUCCAUAUUAAUUUUGUGCUCACAUAGUGUGGGACUAAUGCCCUUAAAAUCAUCAAGAGUAUAUCCAAUAGCGGCACGGUGCUUCUUCAGAGUUUUAAAUAAUUUCUUUUCUUCAUGCUCUGAAAGGUUAGCACUAAUAAUAACAUGAUAUAUCUUUUUUAUCAAGAUAAGCAUAUUUCAAAGUAUCAGGUAAUUGUUUAAGCUCAAACAUGGGAUCACCCUUGGGUGGAGGAGGAUCCCCAAGGAUUUCAACAGGCAAAUUGUGUUUCAAAAUAGGUCCUUGAUUAAACAAUAUUUCAUCUAAUUCCUUUCUUUCAUUCAUAAACAUAUCAUUUUCAUGGUCUAGGAAAUAUUGUUCUAAAGGAUCAGUAGGAGGCACGGAAAUAGAAGCAAGACCAAUAAUUUCAUCCUUAAUAGGCAAUUCUUUAUCAUGGGGUUGUUUACAAAAUUUAGAAAAAUUAAAAUCAUGAGACAUAUCCCCUAAACUGACAAUAACAAUAUCUUUCUCACAGUCUAUCUUAGCAUUAACUGUAGGGGAACGUAGCAUGCAAUUUAAAAAAUGUUCCUACGCUCACGCAAGAUCUAUCUAGGAGAUGCAUAACAACGAGGGGGAGAGAGUGUGUCUACGUAUCCUCUUAGACCGUAAGCGGAAGCGUUUGACAACGUGGUUGAUUUAGUCGAACUUCUUCAAGCUCCGACCGAUCAAGCACCGAACGUACGACACCUCCCAGUUCUGCACACGUUCAGCUCGGUGACGUCCCUCACCUUCUUGAUCCAGAAAGGUGUCGAGGUAGUAGAUGAGUUCCGUCAGCACGAUGGCAUGGUGACGCUGAUGGUGAAGUGAUCCUUGCAGGGCUUCGCCUAAGCACCACGAGAGUAUGACCGGGGGUGUAAACUAUGGAGGAGGACGUCGCACACGGCUAACAAUUGAUGUUGUGUUGUGCUAGGGCGCCCCCUCACACAUAUAUAGGUUGGAGGGAGAGGGAAGGCAGCCAUGGGGUGCCCCAAGUAGGUUUUGAAUCCUACUUGGGGUUUUCCCAAGUGGCGCCCCCUUCCAUAAAUUGCCGGAGGGGGAAACAAAGGGGGAAGAAGGAAGUAGUACUUCCUACUUUUCCUUUUUCCCUUCACCUCUUUCCUUAUCCUCUUUGGUCGGCCCAUAUGGGGGCGCACCAGCCCCUUGUGGCUGGUCCGUUUCCCCUCUUGGCCCAUAAGGCCCAUAUCUUUUGCCGGGGGUGCCCGGAACCCCUUUCGAUGAUCCAAUAUGUACCCGGUACCCUCCGGAACACUUCCAGUGUCCGAAUACCAUCGUCCUAUAUAUCAAUCUUUGCCUCUCGACCAUUUAGAGACUCCUUGUCAUGUCCGUGAUCUCAUCCGGGACUCCGAACAACAUUUGGUCACCAAAUCACAUAACUCAUAUAAUACAAUAUCGUCAUUGAAUGUUAAGCGUGCGGACCCUAUGGGUUCGAGAACUAUGUAGACAUUACCGAGACACUUCUCCAGUCAAUAACUAAUAGCGAAAUCUGGAUGCUCAUAUUGGCUCCCACAGAUUCUACGAAGAUCUUUAUCGGUCGAACCAUUAUGACAACAUAUGUAAUUCCCUUUGUCCAUCGGUAUGUUACUUGCCCGAGAUUCGAUCGUCAGUAUCUUCAUACCUAGUUCAAUCUCAUUACCGGCAAGUCUCUUUACUCAUUCCGUAAUACAUCAUAUCAUGACUAACUCCUUAGUCGUUUCCUUUCAAGCUUAUAAUGUGUAUUACCGAGAGGGCCCAGAGAUACCUCUCCGGUACUCGGAGUGACAAAUCAUAAUCUUGAUCUAUGCCAAGUGAACAGACACCUUCGGAGAUACCUGUAGAGCAUCUUUAUAAUCACCCAGUUAUGUUGUGACAUUUGAUAGCACACAAUGCAUUCCUCCGGGAUCCGGGAGUUGCAUAAUCUCAUAGUCGAAGGAAUAUGUAUUUGACAUGAAGAAAGUAAUAUCAAUAAAAUUGAAUGAUCAUUAUGCUAAGCUAACGGAUGGGUCUUGUCCAUCACAUCAUUCUCCUAAUGAUGUGAUCCCAUUAUCAAAUGACAACUCAUGUCCAUGGUUAGAAAACCUUAACCAUCUUUGAUCAACGAGCUAGUCUAGUAGAGGCUCACUAGGGACACGUUGUUUGUUUAUGUAUUCACACAUGUAUUAUGGUUUCCAAUCAAUACAAUUCUAGCAUGAAUAAUAAACCUUUAUCAUGAAUAAGGAAAUAUAAAAUAACAACUUUAUUAUUGCCUCUAGGGCAUAUUUCCUUCAUUAACAAUAUUCAAGAAGGGUCUACCAAAUAUAAUGGGACAAAAUCAUCUUGUGGGGAACCAAGAACAAGAAAAUCGGUAGGGUAUUUAAUUUUCCCACACAAGACUUCAACAUUUCUAACUAUCCCAAUUGGUGACAUAGUAUCUAUUGGCAAGCUUAAUAGUAACAUUAAUAUCUUCUAUCUCAGCCGGUGCAAUAUCAUUCAUAAUUUCUUGGUAUAAGGUAUAAGGUAUUGCACUCACACUAGCACCCACAUCACAUAAGUCAUGAUAACAAUGAUCUCCUAUUUUAACGGAAACAACAAGCAUGCCAACAACAGGUCUAUGUCUAUCUUUAACAUUAGGUUUAGCAAUCCUAGCAGCUUCAUCACAGAAAUAUAUAACAUGCCCAUCAAUGUUAUCAACCAAGAGAUCUUUAACCAUAGAAAUACUAGGUUCAACUUUAAUUUGCCCAGGGGGUGUUGGUGUUCUAGUAUAACUCUUACGAACCAUAGUUGAAGUUCUAACAUGAUCCUUUAUGGUUUCUCAAUAUAAGAAGUGGGAACAAUAGGAUCAACAUUAUAAGUAAUAGUUUCUUCUUCAACCUUAAUAGGUUCUACUACUUUCACUUCAAUGGGAGGAUGAUAUUUAAACCACUUAUCCUUAGAGAGAUCAACAUGAGUAGCAAAUGAUUCACAAAAAAGCUACUAUCUCAGAGUCAAGUCCAUAUUUAGUGCUAAAAUCAUGAAAGGCAUCGGUAUCCAUAAAAGAUUUAACACAAUCAAACUUAAGGUUUAUACCUGACUCCUUACCUUCGUCGAGUUCCCAAUCUUCAGAGUUGCGUUUAAUUCUUUCCAAUAAAUACGAUUUGAAUUCAAUAUCAUUCUUCAUAAAAGAACCAGUACAAGAAGUAUCGAGCAUGGAUCGUUCAUUAUGAGAAAGUCGAGCAUAAAAAUUCUGGAUAGUAAUUUCUCUUGAAAGCUCAUGAUUGGGGCAUGAAUAUAACAUUGACUUAAGACUCCCUAAGCUUGAGCGAUACUUUCUCCUCCACGAGGCCAAAAAUUAUAGAUAUAAUUCUGAUCCCAAUGAACCAGAUGCAUAGGAUAAAACUUCUGAUGAAAUUCCAAUUUCAAUCGGUUGUAGUUCCAUGAUCCAAUAUCAUCACAUAGCAUAUACCAUGUCAAUGCCUUUCCCUUCAAAGAUAAAAGGGAAGACCUUCUUCUUGACAUCAUCCUCGGGCAAACCUGCAAGCUUAAAUAAACCACAAACUUCAUCCACAUAGAUUAGGUGCAUAUCAGGAUGUAAUGUUCCAUCUCCCGCAUAUGGAUUAGCUAGUAGUUUCUCUAUCAUACCCGAAGGAAUUUCAUAAUAAAUAUUUUCAGUAGGUGCAGUAGGUUGAGGACCAACUCUUUGCUCUUCCGUUCGAGGUGAAGAUACCCCGAACAAGCCCCUCAAAGGAUUAUUUUCCAUAGUAACAACUGACAGUAAAUUUCAGCACACUAUAUAAAUGUUUCCUUACCAAAGGCGCUUCACUCCCCGGCAACGGCGCCAGAAAAGAGUCUUGAUGACGCAUAAGUAUAGGGUAUCUAUCGUAGUCCUUUUGAUAAGUAAGAGUGCCGAACCCAACGAGGAGCAGAAGGAAAUGACAAGUAGUUUUCAGCAAGGUAUUCUCUGCAAGCACUGAAAUUAUCGGUAACGGAUAGUUGUGUGAUAAGAUAAUUCGUAACGGGUAACAAGUAACAAAAGUAACUAAGGUGCAGCAAGAUGGCCCAAUCCUUCUUGUAGCAAAGGACAAGCCUGGGGGAACUCUUAUAUAAAGCAAAGCGCUCCCGAGGACACAUGGGAAUUACUGUCAAGCUAGUUUUCAUCAUGCUCAUAUGAUUUGCGUUCGUUAUUUUGAUAAUUUGAUAUGUGGGUGGACCGGUGCUUGGGUGCUGCCUUUCCUUGGACAAACCUCCCACUUAUGAUUAACCCCUCUCACAAGCAUCCACAACUACGAAAGAAGAAUUAAGAUAAAUCUAAACAUAGCAUGAAACAUAUGGAUCCAAAUCAGCCCCUUACGAAGCAACGCAUAAACUAGGGUUUAAGCUUAUGUCACUCUAGCAACCCAUCAUCUACUUAUUACUUCCCAAUGCCUUCCCCUAGGCCCAAAUCAUGGUGAAGUGUCAUGUAGUCGACGUUCACAUAACAUCACUAGAGGAGAGACAACAUACAUCUCAUCAAAAUAUCAAACGAAUACCAAAUUCACAUAAUUACUUAUAACAAGACUUCUCUCAUAUCCUCAGGAACAAGCGUAACUACUCACAAAGCAUAUUCAUGUUCAUAAUCAAAGCAGUAUUAAUUAUCAUUAAGGAUCUGAACAUAUGAUCUUCCACCGAAUAAACCAACUAGCAUCAACUACAAGGAGUAAUCAACACUACUAGCAACCCACAGGUACCAAUCUGAGGUUUUGAGACAGAGAUCGGAUACAAGAGAUGAACUAGGGUUUGAGAGGAGAUGGUGCUGGUGAAGAUGUUGAUGGAGAUUUGACCCCCUCUUGAUGAGAGGAUCGUUGGUGAUGACGAUGGCUUCGAUUUCCCCCUCCCGGAGGGAAGUUUCCCCGGCAGAACAGCUCCGCCGGAGCCCUAGAUUGGUUCUGCCCAGGUUCCGCCUCGAGACGGCGGCGCUUCGUCCCGAAAGCUUCCUUCUGAUUUUCCAGGUCAAAACACACCAUAUAGUAGAAGAUGGGCAUCGAGGGCGUGCCAGGUGGCCCACAAGGCAGGAGGCGCGCCCAGGGGGUAGGGCGCGCCCCCCACCCUUGUGGAUGGCAGGUGGCCCCCCUCUGGUGGUUUUUCAUCCAAUAUUUUUUUAUUAAAUCCAAAAUGACUCUCCGUGAAGUUUCAAGACUUUUGGAGUUGUGCAGAAUAGGUCUAUAAUAUUUGCUCCUUUUCCAGUCCAGAAUUCCAGUUGCCGGCAUUCUCCCUCUUCAUGUAAACCUUGUAAAAUAAGAGAGAAAAGGCAUAAAUAUUGUGUUAGAAUGUGUAAUAACAUCCCAUAAUGCAAUGAAUAUCAAUAUAAAAGCAUGAUGCAAAAUGGACGUAUCAAUGGCCGAGCAGCAGGCCAUCCUGGAGUCCCUCUAGGAUGAGGCCUAUGUGGAGGCCAACCGGGCGUUCCUCUGCAGCGGCAGGCGAAGACCGACGCGCUCUUCGACGAGCUCGACGUGGAGAUAGAGGCGGAGGAGGCCGGAGCGGAGCAGCCGGAGGUACCAGAGGAGGCGGAGCUGCAGCUGUCCCCCAUGCUACCGGCGCCGGGCACGGAGAUUGUCGACAUCUCCGACGACGAGUAGCUAGUUGAUCGACGUAGCACGUAGGUUUAUUUUAGUUUGCAUGUCUUUGUAUCGAUUUGAGGAUCUAGUAUGAGAUGUCUGUAUGCCACAAUUGAAAUUUGAGGCGUGUCCGGUCACUGUCCGCGGACGCGCUCGCGGAUGUUUGAGAGGUCAUAUUUGUCAUGUGGCUGUAGAUGCUCUUAGAGGGUCGGAUGUGCCAAGUUGACUGUAGAUGCUUCUAACAUCAUAAUUUGAACGGGGAGAGGAGAACAUUGGCAGCAGAGUUUUUCCUUUUUGAACAGCAGCAACAGAGUUUGAAGGAGGGCAAAAAGGGGUCGGGCCGAUCGUUCUCACUAUAGCGCGACCGGUCGCGCCCUUUGGUUGCGUCCUAUCCUAUACUGCUAAAAUAAUCCCGCGAACACGCGCCGGUUGACUUCUUAGUAGGAACACGCGCCGGGCAGAAGACAGUCUGAACCUGCUACGCCGUCCGAUUAUCCUAUCCAGCAAUUUGUCGCCGUCUAAUACUUCUUCCGGAUGAACUCAUGCCCGACUGAUCCCGGUGCCCGCACGUCAUACACGUUGGCUUGAGGAUACUCAAAGAUUCCCACGAGCGAGCUGUCAACGAGAGUUAAAAGAUUCCCACGUAAAUCUCAACUGGCAUUCGUAAAUCUCAACAGCCACUAUAUAUACACGGCCGCGCGGACCACGAGCCCACAGAUCCCGCCCCGCCUCCUCCCCUCGCCUUGGCCGCCACCGCCGGCCGCCGCGCGCUCCGUGCCGGAGAUUGUCUGGUCUGCCCCUCCUCCCUCCGGUCAGUGCUCUGCUCUCCCGUAACCCGCCUCUUCUUCUCCGAGUUCCUCGUCCCAUCCCGGUCUCCAUUCGUUUUUUCCUCGCAACCCGACGGCGACGGGGUCCAACCAACGAGGCCUGCUGGUACUGGACUGUCUUGGAUUGGGUUUCUUUUUUUUUCCUGGCAAGAAAUCCUAGUGGUUUUGAUUGGAGUUGGAUGGGUUGUCAUUUUCUUUCACGGGUUUCUUGGGGAUCGAUUCUUUCUUUUCUCCGGCAGCGAGCAAUCAUAACCCAAAUCAAUGCGCUAUUACUUGCCGAUUUGGUUGCUGCGUGCUGUCCGUAGUCCACCCAUCAUCGUUCGAUCGUGUAAGGCACGGGUCGAUCUGCGUUGAUGCCGUAAUGGAGUUUCCAACGAAGCCCACCGCUGAGACAAAGAUGGAACGGCACCAGUCCUGGCGGCGCUAAAUCGGAUUCAUGGCGUGAAUUGCUCGCUUCUUAGGUCCCGAGGCCCGGAUUCCUACUACAACUGACCGGGGAAUUGGUGCCCUUGAAGGUUCAAACUCCAGUUUUAGAUACCUGCGGAUUUAGACACUUCUAUAAAGUUAGAGAGCAGAAUUAGUUUCUUGUUUUUUUUUUUGGUGAGAAACGAAUUAGUUUCUUGUUGUGUGCAAGUGUCUAGCAUCUUGCAACGAACUCUGUUGCCGGGCAAAGUUUUGCUUGCGCUGUGCAGGCGUCUGCUUCUUUCUCUGAAACUCUGACGAACGAAAUCUUCAGGUGUUGAAACACCAGUUUCAUGCAUUCUUUAGUCCUCGUCUCUGAACCAGUUGCAUACAACUCUUUGCAGUGCUGCCGUCUUUGAAUAGGCAGGUGAACUCGGUUAUCAUGGGCCUCGAGGUAGCAGGUGGCGGGGAAGCUGCAGUUAAGGUAUUUUCCUUCGUUCUGCAGGUUCAUCUGAUGGUUAUUGCACUGUUAUCAACUUUGAUUUGAGGGUUUUGUGCUGACUGCUGCUGCUCGUGUUUGACAGGGGAAGUUCUGGGGUAUAGUUGUCUGUUUUUUCUUGGGAAAUGGGAGCCUAUUUGCCUGGAACAGUAUGCUCACCAUCGAGGAUUACUAUGUCUCUCUGUUCCCGGUAUGUGUUUGCUUGUGAAACUCAGUUGCUUUUUGAUUAAAAUAUGUACGCAAAAGUGCGUCUCGUUUCGUUUCUUUUGAAUGUUGCAGUAGAUUGUUUAAUUGAUGAUCUGAACGAAGCCAGUAGUAUUCAGUAGCCUGAUUCUAGCACUUCUUUUUAUAUAAGCUAAAAGCGUCCUUCUGGAUUCGCUUGGUGUGUUUGGGUAAAUUAAGAAUUGUUAGUUUUACUCAUUUUAAUGACGCGGUUUAUCAUUUCUACCUUGCACUGUCUUAACUUGUUGAACUGAGAUGCCAAUUUGAUCCCUUCGUUUUGCAGAAUUUGUUGUGUCAAACAUUCAGAUUUUAUUACGUACAAUGACAUUUGACCUACGAUAUCUAUCUGCAGAAUUACCAUCCGACAAGAGUUCUUACACUAGUAUACCAGCCUUUUGCCUUUGGACUCACCUGCUUCUUUGCAUACUAUGAAGCAACGAUGAACACGAGGAAGAGAAACCUAGCUGGUUUUGCACUUUUCUUCCUUAGCUCUUUCGCAUUAAUAUUGGUAAGUAUAUUGGGUAUUGCCUUUUGCCUGGAAGGAAAAGAAUAACAUUGAUGUGCCAGUAUGGCAGCUCAUGUAAAUCAUUUUUCUUAUUGUAGCUGGACGUUGGUACUAAAGGACAUGGUGGAAUUCCAGCAUACAUUGGUGUAUGCAUAAUCAGUGCCUUUUUUGGGACAUCUGAUGCGCUUGUUCAAGGUGGCUUGGUUGGCGACCUUUCUUUGAUGUGCCCGGAGUUCAUUCAGGUUACUUUUUGGUCUAUUAUUGUACUUUGUGAUGUUUGGUUAACUUUUUCAUGUCUCAGACUGAGAAUAAUUUACCUUUCAUGACGUAAAUCAUCUAUUGGAAUUGCAGUCCUUCCUGUCAGGCUUGGCUGCAUCAGGAGUUAUAACAUCAGCUUUGAGACUAAUUACAAAGGCAGCUUUCGAGAACUCACAAAAUGGUCUUCGAAAUGGAGCUAGUACGUCGAAAUCUCAUCAACAUAUAUUAUUAUUUUUGGAUAAUGCGAGACAUCUCUGCCAACCUAUAUGAGCACACAGCCCAAUCUCAUCAACAAAUGCAGAUUCAGUAAAAUUGUGAUAAAAAUUUAAGAAUAGCAGAAUGCUAUAAAUCCACUAUGAUCAUAACAGUCAUCAGUGACAACGUAAAGAAAUCCAUUUCAGAACUUGCUCAUAUAACUUUCUACUAGAAUGUUUAGGUGCUUGUUACAAUCUUACUUGCAGAUCUCCUAAAAUAUCGCACCAUGCAUGUGCAUAACCAAUUCAUGUAUGAUUUUUUGUGCAGUGCUAUUCUUCUCGGUAACAUGCAUGUUCGAGCUAGCUUGCCUCCUCCUAUACGCAUUUGUCUUUCCCAAAUUACCCAUCGUGAAGUACUACCGCCAAAAGGCAGCCUCUGAAGGGAGCAAGACUGUUGGCAGCGACCUUGCUGCUGCAGGAAUCAAAACUGAUCAAGAUAGGCAGGUUUGUCUCUCUGAUCAUACCAAUGCCUACAAUGAAUCUUCUACGACUUUGCCAUGAGAAUGAAAUGUUGAUAUACUGAUUCACAGGUUGAGGAGGAUCCCCAAAAGCACGAACGUUUAAGCACCAAGGAGCUGCUGAUGCAGAAUAUAGACUAUGCUUUGGAUAUCUUCCUGAUAUAUGUCUUGACUCUAUCAAUCUUCCCUGGAUUUUUAUCCGAAGAUACUGGAUCACAUGGCCUGGGAACAUGGUAAUCUUUCUUGCACUUGUACCUGGCACCUACUUCUGCAGAAUUUACCUGGGAGUAUUGUCCAGUAUCUGACAUGUCAUUGUUCUGAUAAAAUUCAGGUACGCACUUGUGCUGAUCACGAUGUACAAUGUGUUAGAUCUGAUUGGUAGGUACAUACCACUGAUCAAAUGCCUGAAGCUGACGAACCGGAAGGGCCUGAUGGUCGCCAUCUUGGCGCGCUUCCUGUUCAUCCCUGCGUUCUACUUCACGGCCAAGUAUGGCGACCAAGGGUACAUGAUCUUCCUCACGUCCUUUCUGGGACUGACCAAUGGCUACCUCACCGUGUGCGUCCUCGCUGAAGCGCCAAAUGGGUACAAGGCAAGUCUCCUUCCUUGCCGAUGCAAACAUCGUAAUGCAGUGUUCAGAAAGAAAACGUUUGUUCCUUGUCGAUGCAAACAUCAUAGUACAGUAAAUGUUUGUCAUGAGGAUCUGAGCUGUAUGUUGAACAUUGGUUUUUUGGUUGUGCAGGGGCCGGAGCAGAACGCUCUGGGGAACGUGCUCGUGGUGUGCCUCCUCGGCGGCAUAUUCUCCGGCGUCGUGCUCGACUGGAUGUGGCUGAUAGGCAAGGGCUGGUAGUCGAGCACUCUCCGCUGUUUGGUCUGCGCGAUUCGUUCGGUGUCGGGUGGGAAGCGCGCUAAUGCUGGCGAUCUUUCUUGCUCCAUAGGUAGAUAGGUGGUUGCCGAAACAAGGAUGCUGCAGUACAGUGGUGUAUUCCGAGUGGUUGUUCAUCUUCUUUCUCAAAAGAGAUUUUAAAUGUUAAUCUGUUCAUGUUUGUAAAUAACUUUGCUGCGACAUGCGAUGUAUCCUUUCUAGCUUCCCUUUUAUGUUUAGCCCCUAGGGCUGUCUUCCCCUGCUUACCAUAUUGGACGGCAUAUUCAUGACUCGUUGAACCAAAACAUCAAAUUUAUCUUAACCACAAGUCUGAAAUAAAUAGUGGAGUUAGGUCCAAUUAUAGUGCCACGAUAAAGCGAGCUUAUGUCAUCUUAAAAUAUUAAUGGUUGCUUCUAACCAGUGAGAGAUAAAAGAAGAGAAACUAAUAAUUAAACUCACCAAACCUAAAACAACUCAUUAUCCAAGGCAAUCUAUAAAAGAGUUCUUUCUGCCAAAGAACCAACCUUUUUGUUUGACGCACAUAAAGGGACCCCCCCCCCCCCUCCCUGAAACUUACUAAUUUAGUUGCUAGCAAUGGUGUUAAANNNNNNNNNNNNNNNNNNNNNNNNNNNNNNNNNNNNNNNNNNNNNNNNNNNNNNNNNNNNNNNNNNNNNNNNNNNNNNNNNNNNNNNNNNNNNNNNNNNNNNNNNNNNNNNNNNNNNNNNNNNNNNNNNNNNNNNNNNNNNNNNNNNNNNNNNNNNNNNNNNNNNNNNNNNNNNNNNNNNNNNNNNNNNNNNNNNNNNNNNNNNNNNNNNNNNNNNNNNNNNNNNNNNNNNNNNNNNNNNNNNNNNNNNNNNNNNNNNNNUAACAAAUGAAUCAAUAGUACUGGAAUAUUAUCGUUUCAUGUAAGAGAAGGGGGCACACAAAGAAAUUGCCACAACAACGCUCAGAUGGACAAACAGGCCAGAUUUGUCUUUUCCACAAUAGAUGAUAAUCAAUAUACUCAAUUCUUCCCAAUGGACACACAUGACAAAGAUACCACAUGAAAAAAGUUGGAAAGUAUCAAACAUGCAUGCGUAGCUAACUACUCCCUCCGUCCGAAAAAACUUGUCUCUCAAAUGAAUGUAUCUAGAACUAAUUUGGUGCAAGAUACAUCCAUUUGAGGGACAAGCUUGGGACAAAUUUUUUCGGACGGAGGGAGUACACCACAAUGCUAGAAAGAACGUUUGAACUGAAGCAUAUGUUUGCUUGAUCAAUCCAAGAGGAUUCAUCUUAGAAGUGAAAAUGCUUGUUAACAACAUGUGAAAGGAGGGAUGGAGAAACUUACAGGGAGCAUCUAAACAAUGCGUUGGUACACCCUUAAGAUCUGGAAUUGUUAUUGGAUCACUGAUUACUUGAAAAACAAUUCAUCUAUACAUUUGAUAUCCGAGAAAAUAAAAUGUGUUAUUUGUAGUAUUACAUAAGAUACAACUUUGCAUAACUAGUUAUUUUGCAUGGCGGAAACAUCAAGAAUUAAAUUAGAAAAUUGCCAAGGAGAGAAUGGGAUGUUCUUCAUAUAUAGUGAAGUUGAUGUUUAAGAAAGAAUAGGAUAAUUUGGACUGAGAUAAACAAAUAUAAUUUGUAAAAAGUAUAAAGCUAACCUAAAGAUAACUAUUUUAAGAAAGAGGUAGUCGUAAACCACGUGGAAAAAAUUAAGUGAACUAAAAGCCAACAGCUUUGCUACUGAGCUACGUGCAACUGUAUGCAAGGUAUCUGGAGGAAGAGUGCCAAGCAAGCACGCAGACAAUGCAUCUCUAAGUUUAGCCACCAAUCGACCCAAAAAUCCUAAUUAAUUCAAAAAUACCGAUGAAGGAAUAUAUUAGGGUAGAUACACUUCAAAUGAGAAAUUAUAAAUCAAUUUUUAGAGAGAGAGAGAGAGAGAGAGAGAGAGAGAGAUAUGAAAUCUGAAUCACAUGGGCGAGUGUAUGUGUGUGUGUGUACGUGGGCAUCAACGGCAACUACGAAGAUGUCUACGAUGACUUUGUCAAUCUCAAGAUGAUGUCCCGGCUCAGUAUCUCGGAGGUGCUCAUAGAGGUAGGAUGUGCAUGCGUGCGUUCAUAUGAGUGAGCUUAUGUGCUUGCAUGUGGGCAUCAAUGUCGACUACCAACACGCCUGUGUUGACUUCAUCAAUCUCAAGAUGGUGUGCCGGCUCAGCAUCAGAAGUGCUCAUAUAGAUACGGUUUGCGUGUGUGUUCACAGGAGUGAGUGUAUGUGGGCAUCAACGUCGACUACGAAGAUGCCUGCAGUAACUUCGUCAGUCUCAAGAUGUUGUACCAGCUCAGUAUCUCAGAGGUGCUCAUAGAGGUACGAUGUGCGUGCUUAUGCGUUCAUAGGGGUGAGUGUAUGUGCGUGUACAUGGGCAUCAACGUCGACUACGAAGACGCCUGCAGUGGCUUCGUCAAUCUCAAGAUGUUGUGCCGGCUUAGUAGGCAUCGACGUCAACUACGAAGACACCUGCGGUGACUUCGUCGAUCUCAAGAUGUUGUGCCGGCUCACUAUCUCGAAGAUGCUCAUAUUGAUAGGGUGUCCGUGCGUGCACGUUCAUAGGUCUGAGUGUAUGUGCGUGUAUGUGGGCAUCUGUGUUGUACUGCGUUAAAAAACCAGUAGCAAAACACACACAAAAUCAGGAGGUGCUCAUAGAGGCACGAUGUGCGUGCGUAUGCGUUCACAAAGGCGAGUGUAUGUGUGUGUACGUGGGCAUCAACGUCGACUACGACGACCCCUGCAGUGACUUCGCCAAUCUCAAGAUGUUGUAGCGGCUCAGUAGGCAUCGACGUCAACUAUGAAGACACCUAUAGUGACUUCGUCAAUCUCAAAAUGUUGUGUUGGCUCACUGUCUCGAAGGUGCUCAUACUAAUAAGGUGUGCGUGCGUGCAUUCAUAUGUGUGAGUGUAUGUGCGUAUAUACGGGCAUCUGUGUUGUACUGCGUUAAAAAACCACACACACAAAAAUCAGUAAUGAAGCAAAUAAAAAAACAGCCAUGUGUCAACUGGGAGAGUACUCAGGCAAAGUACUUCAAAUGCAUGCUAGCACUACUAGGGAAAACCUUAUACGCAGAAAUUUAGCAACAACGCGGGUCAAAAAAGGGCGCUAGUGCUAGAUAGCAGUAGCGAUUGAGAAAAAACCGCGCUACAAAUACAACCUUAGCAGUAGCGCGUGUAGUGGCAAAAGCGCUACUACUAAUAUUCCCAUUGGUAGAAUGAUAGGCUACGCAUAGCAGUAUCGGGCUUGGAAGAAGCGCGCUACCGCUAGGGCAUAAGUAGUAGCGCGUUUCCUACGAAGAGCGCUACUACUGAUGGAAAUAAAAUAAGAUGAAAAACAAAUAGAAAAGUAAAUGAAAAUGAAAGAAAUAGAAAAAGGAGAAAGAAAAAAUAAAAUGUAAAGCAAAAUAAAUGAAAAAGCGAAAAAACGGAGGAAGGCAUAGCAGUAGCGUGUGUUCAUAAGAGGCGCUAUAGCUAACGUAGCUGCAACGCGUGUCCUAGACCCCCGCUAUAGAAACAGAAAAGGAAAUUAAAAAAUGGAAGAAAAUUACAUAGCUAUAGCAGCAGCGCGUUUUGUAAAAACCGCUAUAGCUAUCUUAGGUAUAGCGCGUUUUACUAAACGCGCUACCGCUAAAUUUGACUUAACCAAGAAACCGUUUCCCCCCGGCCACCACUUCUCCCCCAAAUCCCUCGACCCACCCCGCUGCCGUCUCCCCGAUUCGCCGUCACCCCACUUCGCCGCCGUCUCCUGCCGACGUCGACACCACCAGAGCCGUGCGCCGUCGACGCCACCGGAGCCGCCCCCAACGCCACGGAGCUGCACGGCCUCAUCAACGCCACCGGAGCCGCCGUCGACGCCACCGGAUCCUCCCUCGCCACAACUGCCUCCCUCGCCGUCACCGGAGACGCCCCUGCCUCCCUCGCCACCACUGCCUCCCUCGCCACCACCGGAGCCAUCCUCUGUAAGCCCCCACCCCUCCUCUCUCUCUCAUGCAUAGGUUAGCUAGUUUAAUUAGGUUAAUUAUCUAGGUUAGGGCAAAAAUUUAGUUAGGGCUUUGACAGAGAAGUAGUUAGGUUAACUAGUUUAAUUAGGUUAAUUAUCUAGGUUAGUGCAAAAAUUUAGUUAGGGCUUUGACAGAGAACUAGUCAGGUUAACUAGUUUAAUUAGGUUAAUUAUCUAGGUUAAUUAGUGCAAAAAUUUAUUUAGGGCUUUGACAGAGAACUAGCUGCGUUAACUAGUUUAAUUAGGUUAAUUAUCUAGGUAAACUAGAUUAACUAACUAGAUUAAAUAGGUAGGUUAAUUAGGUUCGUUGGAUUAACAAGCUAGGUUAAGUAGGUUGGCUAGGUUAGUGGAAAAUUUUAUUUUAGAGCAUUAGGUCAGAAGGGUUAGAGAAAUGGAGUUCCUUUGCAAUUUAAUUGGGUUCUGUCCUAGGCAGAGAAGGGUUAGAGAUAAUAAUGUGUGUUUGUGUGAGAGAGAGGAAUAGCUAGAUCAACAUAAUUUGGGUUCUGUCCUAGGCAGAGAAGUGUUUAGUGAGGUCAUUUUGCAAAGGUUUUUGAUUUUUGGAAAGACCACUAUUUUUCAAGGAAAAGAAUUUAGGCAAAUUUUAUUUUAAAGAUGAUCCCUUCCUAGACUUUUAUUGUUGAUUAUAUCUUUUCAUUGAAGUGGUCAUGUUAUAUCUUUUCAUUGAAGUUGUUCGAUUGUGCCCAAGUGGCUUUGUUGUUUCCAGGGAAUGAUGCUGAGUGGCCUAUGUUUUGCCGGAAUGUUGAUUCAUUUCUGUUCCGGCAAAUUUUAGGUUCUCGAUUUGUCCACUUUUUAGCAAAGGUCAUGCCGAAAUUUUCCGUGAAUUUCAACAUGACUUGUGCUACAAACUAGGACAUAUCGAGUGCCCGGGAUUUGCCGCACCAGGAAGGAGUCAACGUUCCUGCAAAAUAAUAGGCCUUUUUUAUGUCAUUAUUCAUUUUAUUAGGUCUAGAAUUAAUUGACUAGAUUUAAUCAUAGGAAACAUGGCUAGCAACGAUGAAGGACAGGGUUCUGGUGAUUGCGACGACGUCUACCAGGCGGCAGACGAAUUUUUUAGCCUUGCCGACGAUCAACCAAUGUUGUUGCUGGGCCCACCGGUGGCAUCGGGGACUGAGACCGACACGCAGACUGGUGCUGGACUGAGACCGGCGCUGAGACUCAGACCGACAUCGAGACCGGCGCUGAGACUGAGACCGGCGCUGCCUCGGGGGCGGAGCCGGUGUAGAACCGAAAGCAAAGAGGCAACGGCUUCCUAACAAACUCAGGACUACUAGACUGGUGGUCACGGAGGUGGACGACGGCAAUUUUGAGCCAAAGGCGCCCGAGGAAGCGCGCUCGUGCUACAGCAAUCAAAUAGGCUGCAUCGUACGGACAACCGCCACCAUCAACGAUGAGAAACUACAGAAGAUAGAAAAUAUGAGGAGCUCCCUCCUAAAGAAGUUUCACCAGAUAUUCUUGUUCCCGGGCCGGAAUGAGAAGGAUUAUGAAGAUCUAGAUGAGGACCCGGCAAUGAAGAAGAUAAACAAACACGCCAUGACCAAGUUUAGCGACGCGUUGGCCGCCUGGAAAAAUCGAGUGAAAGCAAAGAUCAUCGACAAGGAACCCUACUCCGAGAUUGUAAAGGAUAAUCCGACAAUCACGGAAGAGCAGUUUCAAAUAUUCAAGGAGGCUUGCGAGGCCGAAGCUGCCAAAAAAAAGUCUAAGUACAUGAAGGGGCUUCAAGAGAGGAACAUUGGGAGCCACCGCCUCGGAAGCCGUGGUUACGGCGGAAAGAGGUCCAAAUGGGCCAAGGAGGACGCGGAAGCCGCGAGUCUGGGCAUCCCAGACCCCUUGGCGGAGUUCACCGUCCCGCAGGAGCGUGACGUCCUCAGGGCCCGGCACCGUUGGGACCCAGUGAAGAAGGUUUACGAGACAAAACCGGUCAUUACGGAGUUCAUGAGACUGCUGGUAAUUUUAGUUUCUGAUCAAUUCGACUGCACACGUUAGUCAUAUUUGUAAACGAUCCUUGUGCCUUUUGCAGAGAGAGCAGCACCAGUUUGCGGCCGAAAGCGACUCACCGUCUGAGGCAUUGGCGAGGCCCAAGUGGGACACUCCAUUCAACUGGGCGUUGAACAUAUUGAAACGACAACCGGUGGAUACUCGACCGUCGUAUGGACGCGUGCACGGUGUCGGAGACGGCGCCACGUGGAAGAAGUACUACCGUGAGACCACGGAGGAGAGAAAGGAAAGAUGGAGGUUAACUGAAGAAAACAUCGACAAGAAGGUUGAGAUUGCGGUUGAGAAGAAAUCAUCUCAGACAGUCGCAACAGCGGUAGCUGCCGCAAAAUAGGUGGUUGCAGAUUUGUCUACUUCCUUGGUUCCGGCCAUUUUCACUUUGACAAGGCAAAAUCCAGAAAAAAAAAAUGCAGAGGACUUUCCCCUUGCUGACUUCUUGGGGAGCGGCUCGACUAGCGUUGCACCAGCACCUGCUCCCGCACCGGCUCCCGCACCGGCUCCCGCACCGGACGUGCUCGGCGGUGCUUCGUCUUUGGCUGAGCUCGAUGCCCUCACGGUAUCUGUCACACCGGCCCCCUUCAAUAUAAAUGUAUAAUCUCCCGUUUUCGUUGCCUUUCGGAUGUCUCACGUCGCAGACUUUUCUUUGCAGGCCGACGAAAACCCGUGCACCAUAUUGUACACCAUCAGCGACCAUAAGGUGGAUGUGGGGAAGGCGAUGAUAAUGGAGCCUAAGGAACCACUGUUCCACAGCCGGCCGAUCCCCCCGAACGUCUUCAAGGUUUCCGUGGCCAGUGUCAAACCGGGCCACAAGAAUUUGCCUCCUCUAAUACUAGUGGGGGAUGACGACAAGACCCCGCGGCGGCUUGGUGAUUGUUGCAAUGCGUGGGUCCUGUUGUGGCCAAAGAGUCUGCUUCGUCUGGAGGCGGCCGGGAGCACACCCACGAGCACGCAGCCUCAGCAAGGUAUGAACAUCAACACCCCACCUACCCAAUUAGGGUCGGGUGUCGGGUUGGGUGAUAGUGGACGGGGUAAGGAGGAGGCUCCAUUAGUCGCUGAUGACGUCGCCAUGGAUGAGGAUGAGGAUGACGAUGGCGCUGAACAGUAUGUCUAUACUAGCGCCUCCUCAGGGUUUGAGCGUCAUGAGUCGGUGCCUGAAUUGCCGUCUCAACGUAUUAUGGACGACCUUCCGGUAGUAAAGAAGUCUAGGAAGAGAGCGAGGAAAGGCAAAAAAGCUGAUUCUAUGAUCCACCCGCCUCAGCAGCCUCGGCUUCAGGACCGUAUAGAUAUCCCCGAUGCGGAUAAAUGGCAUAUCCCUGGUCAACCAAUCCUACCUACAACAGCGCUACGGGCCAGAUUCGGCGAUCUAAGGAGACUUCAUGAUGAUGUGCUGCGGGUAGAGAAAGGCCUCAUCGCCUCGAAAGAUCCAGGAUACCCACUCUACGUGGUAAACGUUCCGCGGGAAAUGUCAUACGUCGACAGCUUCCUCGUGGAUAAGUUCUUCCUCCGAUUCGAUUACAUAUUCGACAUGUUUCACGUGAAGAAGCUGGAUUUUACGUUUGUCCGCCUUUAUGCCUUGCUGUCGGAGUAAAUGACCACGGGUAGCCUAGCCGGCUCCCCCUGGUUCUUCAAAACAUGACGGGCCGAUCAAGCCUUCAAGCACCCAAGGCAUGGGGCCGCCUUCCCUUGGCCGGCUGUCUUACAGGCCGACUACCGGAAGGCGGCCCGGCCCUAAAACUCUCAUGAAGAAAGCCACGAGAGGGCCGACUCCAAGAAGCCGGCCACGAGAAGACCGACUCCAAGAAGCCGGCCCCUGGCAAGCGGCCAAGAUCGUGCCCUCAAAGCCUGCACCCACAUAAUGGUGAUGAGACGGGGCGUGGCAACAACGAAGCCUGCCACCCCCGAAUCCCGGAGCACGCAUGGCCACAGUACGCCGUACGGGUCAGCCAUGACCCGUCCGGCGUGGCACUGUUGCCAUGCUGACCAUGACGCCACCCACGACAGGCUGUCAGUACGGCCCGCGGGCGGCGGGCCCCUUCAGUCAGAGAGACACCCGAAGGCGGCCACGCCUCCUCCAGUCGGCCUGGGACGUAGCCGGCUCUCACCAGCCGGCUCGCUCCCUCCCUCGAAGUACGCGCACCAUUAAGGAGACAAGACGAGGUAAGGCCAUAGUGGGAGCCCGCCAGGUGGUGGCACUGUAGCCAUGCUUACCUCGACAAAGCCCUCGUCAUCAAGAGUGAGGCAACAGUAACCAGCCCCCGACAAGACCCACAAGCGGUGGGACCUGUCUGUCGACCGAGAGGCCGGCAGCCGGCGGGACCCACCAGUCAGCGGGCCCCAGCGGCCAGCGGAGAAGCCGGCGAACAUAGACACUGACGGCUAGGGCCCACGCCCAGCCGGAUUACCAUUGUACCCCUGGGGGGUAGGCCUAUAUAAACCCCCAGGGCACCCAUGCAAAGGGUGGAUCUCUGAUAGUUUCACACACUUCAUUGAGGGGAGAAAAGAGCUAGCCUUGCCCUUCUUCCUUCUCUCACCGAACAGCUCAAGGAGCCUCUUGUAGCCACUUGUUGAUCUAGUGAUCAUGCGGAGACCCCGCAGAGCAGGAUUAGGGGUGUUAUCUCCACGGAGAGCCCCGAACCUGGGUAAGAUCCUCCAGCGUGCAUGUCUUCGCCUCAUCCCGUUUCUAGGCACCGGCGAUAUCUUAUUGGCUCCCACAAUGAUAAGCCACCCGUUGGCAUAUGUCGCACCUACCACCCGACAUUUGGCGCCCACUGUGGGGCCAGGUGCACCGUCGUCCGGAGACCUGCUCUGGACGGGAACCCUUUUCCUUCCCAGCGAGCGUAGCCAGCCCAGCACGCCCGAUGGCGCUUGCCCCGACACACUGCAAGAUGUCGAUGACGCCUGCGCGACAAGCUGCCUCGCCGAUCUUCUUGGCGAGGCCCGCAUCUCCGACGAGCCCGCGUCCGACGCGGGCACAGGCUGCCCCGAGAGCCGCCUCGUCAGCCUCCUCGACCAACUCUACGUCUCCAGCGAGCCUGCUGCGGAUUUGGAAUCGGUUGGCUCCAUCGACCCGAUGCUUGUCGACUCCGACACGGCAUCGCUUGACGCUUUCCCCACCAAUGUAGUGAUCUUCGACGACCCUCUUCCUCGAGCCGAUAGCGGUGGCAGCACCGUUACUGAGGUACUAGUCAUCAGCCACGGUGUCACCUCUGGCGAGAACGCCCACGACGCCCUGCACGCGGCGCUGCACGACUUGUCCGUCCCCAUCCCGGCCGACGCCGACGCCGAGACGCUGGAGGCACGCCGCCUUGCCCUCAUUGCGGAGGGCCAGAAGAUAGCCUCCAUGAGACGCCUCACUGAGGCUCACCAGCGCGAAGUCGACCGCGCCGCCUUUAGUACGCCACCUCCCGACGGGCCGAGCCGAGCCGACGUCGUCAAGAAGCGCGGCGCGGCCAUCGCCAACAUGCUGGGAGCAGACCGCCCAGUCUAUGCCACGCCCCUCGAGAACCUACGCGCCGCCCAGUCGGUCGUGGACGAGCUGAAUGGACUGGGGGCCGACGAGCUCCCCUACAAGACCAGACGCAUCCAGCAGCUGAUCGACGCGGCCGCAGAGCGACAUGAAGCCGGCGCCCGCGCUGGAAGUCCUCCCCCACGCCGAGAGCACGGUGCGACAUCGCGGACGCCGACUGCGGGUGGCGCCUGUACAAGGCAAGAAAAGGAGCCGGCUGCUAGCCGCAAUCGGACUCGAAUCACCAUCAAGCGCGAUGCCGAAGGCCGCCCUCGAGUUGUGGAACGACGAGGCGAUCCGCCUCCUCCUCCACCUCAUGGGGAGAGAUAUCCCACCCCACCGCCUGUCACGCAUCCGACUCUCAGCGGCCGACUAGGCCGACGUGAAGGAGUCGGCGAGAAUGAUGCCCGCCAUCGGAUCGACCGCCUAGCGCGAUCCCUGGCGCUAGAAGAAGCAGACGAUGUCGGCCCGCCCUGCUUUGGCCCCCGCAUCCACGACGAGCCCUUCCCCAAAGGGUUCUCACUCCCAAGAGACACGCCCAAGUACAAUGGCUCUGUGAAGUCGGAAGAUUGGUUGAUCGAUUACUCCACUGUGGUUCGCAUAGCAAACGGCAACAAGCGUGUUGCCGUGAAGUAUGUCCCCCUCAUGCUCCAAGGCAUGGCGCGCACCUGGCUCAACAGCUGGCUAGACUUCACAGAAGCCUUCAUCCGCAACUUCACCAGCACCUACAAACGGGCUCCCAAGCGCCGACAGCUCUCCUUCUGUGUUCAAGGGCUCGAUGAAUCAACUCGCGACUACCUCACGCGUUGGGCCGAGCUCCACAACUUCUGCGAGGGGGUGCACGAGGUUCAAGCCAUAGAGUACUUCACUGCCGGAUGCCGAGAAGGCACCCUCCUCAAGCACCGACUCCUCUGCGACGAGCCGACUACCCUCGACGAGCUGCUGAUCAUAGCAGACAAGUAUGCCACGACCGACUCUUCGAUGAAGACCGAGCUUCGAGUAGACGCCUCCGGGAAGGUGCUCACGCCGGCUCCCAAGACGCCGGCUGGAGACUCCAACCGACGCCCGUACCAGAACGACAACAAGCGCAACGCCCCUAUGCCGCCUUCCACCAUUCGGCAAGUGGCCACAGUCGAAGACGAACAACCCGAAGGGCGGCUCGCGCCUAAGAAGCAGAAGGGCGGCAGGCCGGCUUGGCAGCCGGCUUUCUCCUACGAGCAAGCCCUUGAUGCCCCUUGCAAGUUCCACAGCGGCACGAAGGCAUCCAACCACACGACUCGGAAAUGCCAUUGGCUCACGCGAAUCUCCAAGGGCGAAGGGCUGGUGCCGCCUCCGCCUGCUGGCCAGCCGCCUCCAGCCCCUCCGCAGUCGGCCGCUCGACCAGUAGGCGGGGACGUUCAAGACGAGUUCCCCGACGAGCAUGCCGCCUACGUCGUCUUUACAAGCCAGACCGAAGACCAGCGCAGCCGGCGCCGACAGCACCAAGAAGUCAACGUGGUCGCCUCCAACAACCCCGAGUUCCUGCACUGGUCGGAGAAGCCUAUCAGCUGGAGCCGGGCCGAUCACCCAGAGGUGAUGCCAUCUCCCGGCUCUUACGCAUUGGUUUUGGAUGCCACCCUCGCAACAGAAAGGCGAGCUGCCCGUUUCUCCUGCGUGCUGAUAGAUGGCGGGAGCAGCAUCAACAUACUGUACCGUGACACCAUGGAGAAGCUGAACAUCAAGACGAAGCAGCUCAUGCCUAGUCGGACUGUGUUCCACGGCAUCGUACCCGGCCUAUCCUGCUCACCAAUCGGCAAGAUCAAGAUAGAUGUUCUCUUUGGGGACAAGGAUCAUUUCCACCGAGAAGCAAUAUGGUUUGAAGUAGUGGAUCUGGAGAGCCCUUACCACGCAUUACUUGGUCGACCUACUCUGGCCAAGUUCAUGGUUGUGCCCCACUAUGCCUACCUCAAGAUGAAGAUGCCAAGUUCCAAGGGCAUCAUCACCGUAGCCGGAGACUACAAGAAAUCCUCUGAGUGUGCGGCAGCUAGCAACCGGCUGGCCGAGUCCCUCAUGAUCGUUGAAGAGAAAAAGAUGCUGGAUCGAGUCGUGGCCGUGGCCGGCAAGCAGCCGGCCCUGUCCCCCAACCCCAAGGAAUAUGAUGCUCAAGGUUCCUUCCAGCCGGCCAAAAAAACAAAAAAGAUACCUCUGGAUCCGGAGCACCCGGAGAGGCACGCUGUCGUAGGCACCGGCCUAGAUAGCAAAUAGGAAAGCGAGCUCGUCGAUUUCCUCUGUGUGAAUCGGGACAUCUUCGCAUGGUCUCCCAAAGACAUGCCGGGCGUUCCGACGGAUUUCGCCGAGCACAAGCUACAUGUCCGAUCUGACGCCAAGCCGGUCAGGCAGCCCUUGCGCAACCUGUCGGAAGAAAAGAGAAGAGUUGUCGGAGAAGAAAUAGCCCGGCUUCUAGCAGCCCGAUUCAUCAUGGAAGUGUUCUUUCCAGAAUGGCCGGCCAACCCGGUCCUGGUGUUGAAGAAAAAUAAGCAAUGGCGCAUGUGCAUUGACUACACCAGCCUCAACAAAGCCUGCCCCAAAGAUCCUUUUGCUCUGCCAAGGAUUGAUCAAGUGAUAGACUCCACAGCCGAAUGCGAGCUGUUGAGCUUCUUGGAUGCUUACUCAGGCUACCACUAGAUAAAGUUGGAUCCAGCUGACCGCCUGAAGACCGCCUUCAUCACACCAUUCGGAGCUUUCUGCUACCUGACUAUGACAUUCAGCUUGAGAAAUGCCAGUGCCACUUUUCAGCGUCGCAUGCAGAAAUGCCUCCUCAAGCAGCUCGGCAGAAAUGCCCACGUCUAUGUAGAUGAUAUUGUGGUGAAGACGGAGAAGCGCGGCACCUUGCUGGAAGACCUCAGAGAGACAUUUGAAAACUUGCGCCGGUUUCAGAUCAAGCUCAACCCCGAGAAAUGCGUGUUUGGAGUGCCAGCCGGCCAGCUUCUAGGCUUCCUGGUCUUCGAACGCGGCAUCAAAUGCAACCCGGUGAAGAUCAAGGCCAUAGAGAGAAUGGAGAUUCCUACCAAGCUACGAGACAUCCAAAAGUUUACCGGAUGCUUGGCCUCCCUGAACCGCUUCAUCAGCCGGCUCGGAGAGAAAGCUCUCCCCCUCUACCGACUCAUGAAGAAGUCCACUCACUUCGAGUGGAACGACCAAGCAGACCAAGCUUUCCACGAGCUAAAGAAGAUGUUGACCACGCCGCCUGUCUUGGCGGCACCGACUGAGAAAGAGCCCAUGCUCCUUUACAUUGCCGCCACUAGCCGAGUGGUCAGCACCGUUAUCGUGGUUCAGCGCCCAGAAGAAGGCCGAGCUCAGCUAGUCUAGAGGCUGGUAUAUUAUCUGAGCGAAGUGCUGUCCACCUCGAAGCAGAACUACCCGCACUACCAGAAGAUGUGCUAUGGUGUGUACUUCACCGCCAAGAAGCUCAAGCCCUACUUUCAAGAGCACCCCAUCAUGGUCGUAUGUACUGCCCCGCUCGCCGAGAUCAUAGGCAGCUGGGAUGCCGGCCGGGUGGCAAAAUGGGCCAUUGCGCUGGCUCCUUACACAAUCUUCUACCAGCCUCGCACCGCCAUCAAGUCCCAGGCAUUGGUCGACUUCCUUGUCGACUGGGCCGAGACCCAGUACCUACCGCCAGCCCCCGACUCCACUCAUUGGCGGAUGCACUUCGAUGGAUCCAAGAUGCGCACCGGCUUGGGAGCCGGCAUCGUCCUCACCUCUCCCAAGGGCGACAGACUCAGAUACACAUUGCAAAUUCAUUUUGCCGCCUCCAACAAUGUGGCCGAGUACGAGGCGCUCAUACACGGGCUCCGGCUGGCCAAAGAACUCGGCAUUCGCCGGAUCCUGUGCUAUGGUGACUCGGACUUGGUAUUCUAGCAAUCAUCUGGCGACUGGGACGCCAAGGACGCAAACAUGGCGAGCUACUGCUUCCUCGUUCAGCAAAUCAGUGGAUAUUUUGAAGGAUGCGAGUUCCUCCACGUGCCACGGGCCGACAACGAGCAAGCAGAUGCCCUGACACGAAUUGGCUCCACCCGACAAGCUAUACCAACCGGCGUCUCUCUCCAACGCCUCCUCAAGCCGUCUGUCAAGCCAUCUCUAGAAUCUGAUUCCAUCUUCGUACCGCCUGACCCCGACGCAGUCGGAUCCGACUCUGGGAACCAAGCAGGUAGCUCGGGGACUUCGACAGGCGGCUCGGGGACUGCCAUAGUCGCACCCGGCCCGGGGACCUCAGAACCCGGCCCGGGGACUACCGCAGUCGGCCCGGGGACUGCAUCAACGCAACAAGCGGUGGCCGACUCGAACUCUUCACCACCCAGCCCACCCGCCCUGGUCGCAGUAGCCGUAUUGGCAAUAGAAGAAGUCACAGCUCCAUCAUGGGCCCAGCCCAUCCUCAACUUCCUGGUAAACAGAGAGCUGCCAACUGACGAGAUCUCGGCAAGACAAGUCCAACGCCGAGCCGGAGCAUACACAAUAAUGAACCGAGAGCUCAUUAGGCGCAGCGUCACUGGAGUCUUCCAGCGCUGCGUCGAGCCAGAGAAGGGCAUAGCAAUCCUCAAGGACAUCCACCAAGGCGAAUGCGGCCACCACGCGGCCUCAAGAUCACUCGUCGCCAAAGCUUUCCGCCAUGGAUUCUUCUGGCCGACUGCUUUGGAAGACGCCAAGGAGUUAGUCAAACACUGCAAAGGGUGCCAAGUCUUCAGCUCCAAGCAACACCUGCCGGCUUUCGCACUCAAAACCAUCCCCCUCACCUGGCCUUUUGCCGUCUGGGGACUGGACAUGGGGGGCCCAUUCAAGACGGCGCGCGGCGGCAUGACACAUCUGCUCGUCGCCGUGGACAAAUUUACCAAGUGGAUUGAAGCGAAGCCGAUCAAGAAACUGAAUGGGCCGACUGCCGUGACAUUCAUCGCAGAUAUUACAACCCGGUAUGGUGUACCACACAGCAUCAUCACCGACAACGGCACAAAUUUUGCCAAGGGAGCACUGGCACGUUUCUGCGCGACACAGGGCAUCCGACUGGACUUAGCGUCCGUUGCCCACCCGCAGUCAAACGGCCAAGUCGAGCGAGCAAACGGCCUCAUCCUCUCUGGAAUCAAGCCACGAUUGGUCGUGCCACUGGAGCGUUCGGCCGACUGUUGGCUCGACGAGCUGCCGGCCGUCCUCUGGAGUUUGCGCACUACCCCGAACAAAUCAACCGGCUUCACCCCUUUCUUCCUUGUAUAUGGUGCCGAGGCAGUCAUCCCAACUGACAUCGAGUUCGACUCACCUCGGGUCGCCAUGUACACGGAGGCGGAGGCCAAGGAAGCGCGAGAAGACUGCGUCGACCUGCUGGAAGAAGGUCGGCUGUUAGCCCUCAGCCGGUCCGCCAUCUACCAGAAGGGUUUACGCCGUUACCAUAGCCGGAAGGUCAAGCCAAGAUCCUUCCAAGAGGGUGAUCUUGUGCUCCGGCUGAUCCAGCGAACAGCCGGCCAGCACAAGCUCUCGGCCCCUUGGGAAGGCCCCUUCGUCAUCAGCAAGGCCUUAGGCAACGACUCCUACUACCUGAUCGACGCGCAGAAGCCGAAGGCACGCAAGAGAGAUGAUUCCGGCAAGGAGUCGGAAUGACCAUGGAACGCCAAUCUCCUCCGAAGAUUUUACAGUUAAAAUGCAGUAUGUACCACGCUACCUUUUGUAUUAAGUACGAGACAACGGGCCCCCCGAGGAGCACUCGGGGACUACCCCCUUUUAUCUAUGUAUGACGAGUAUCAUGCCUAUGAUUAUGUUACUACAUUUGUUUUCUCGUCCGGCACCGGGUUCGAUCAGUCGGCCUGGGGACUUGCCGCCUUGAGUUAUAUUCAAGUUCUACCUGCAGUCAGACAAGUAGUGUGUCGGCACCCAAGCCCUCUCUUGUUGAAAGUCGCAGCUCGAAGAAUCGACUGUCCGGCUGGCAAGAGCCAAAGGCAGGAAAGAAUGCCCACAUGAAAAAUGGCUAAGGACUAACGAACUUAUAUAACACAAGCCGGCCUCCCACCCCGCCAACCGGUUGUCAGAGCAGCCGGCUGGCCUGCUUCCCAUUCACCUUGCUACAAUCUAAGAAAGCUCGAGUACUUGUCCUCCCAAACGGCCAAGCCCUUCCCCAGCCACAGACUGCAGAGCAGCUGUCCGGCUGGGAAGGCGGCGACCAAGGGAGUGCGGCAAAGGAAACAGCCAAAAGGAUGAAAAGCAAGUAUGAACGGAAGCCAAGCACAUGCAUGAUUAUACUUACACAAAAGGCCUUCGAAAGGCCAGCAUUCAACAUAGUUUGAAUACACCCCCAGUGGGUGGAACUGCGCAAAUUUAAUAAAAAUUGUUCAAAGAGUAACGAGCAGGAAAGCAAAGACGGCGGAUCAGGCCAAGGGAGCAACAGGCGAGCCGGGCAGGUUGGUGGAGACGGUAGUGCUGGCCGGAGGAGUGGCCGGCUGGCGAGUCUCGGCAUGAUCGUCACCUAUUGCAGGCAGCACGCUCGCACGCGCCUCGUUGCUGGAGGCACGAUCAGGCUAAGGCUGGCUGGUCGCUCCAUCGUCUGGCACGAUGUCUUCACCAUCCUCCCGCUCUUCCUCUUCGCCCUCGUCGCUGGAAUCGAUCUCCUCCGCCGAGUCUUCACCUUCUGCCGGGUUCAGCCCGAACCACUCCUCCGGCUGAGCGACGCCGUCAUCAUUUACCUCAGGGGCAAAGGCACUGGUGUCGGUGUAGUCGGCGAUCCCCAAGGCGCGCUGGAUGAUAACCGGCCGCACCGCCUCCAGCUCCUCGUUGGCCUCCUGCCGCCAGGUGCUCAGCUGGGCCAAGUCCAGCCCAGAUACCAAGCUCGGACGAACUCUAGCGCCCGCCUGGCGCUGGACCGGGCUGCAGAGGCCUUCCAGGCCUCGAAGCGGCCGACUGCUACCUCCAGCCAGUCGGCAGUCCGACUGGGGGUGCGGGGAACUACCUCGCCGGGCCAGAGGGCGGCCAGCACCUGCGGCCCCGCACGCUGAAGACGGCGGAGCAUGCGGUAGGCCGGCUGGAGGCCGGCUUGAAUCGCCAGAAGCUGCUCCUCAAGCGACCGGCCAGCAUCCGGUGCGAUCUCAACCCCAGCCUGCCGUCGUGCAUCACGGAGAGCCUCGAUGGCUUGGUUGGCGGCAACGGAGUAACCAGGAAAGUAAUCUGCACAAAGAAAAAUAAGUAGCUCAAAGUCAGAAGACAGACCAGAUGACAGGGGGCGAGCAAAGGGACGAAGAGGAAGGUGGCCUACCGUCAAUCAAAUCUUCAAUCCGGCCAUAGCCUUCGCUCAGCGCUUGCCUCGCCUCAGCCCAGCUCCGCCUCGGUCUCAUAUUCGCCUUUGAGGGCGGCUUCGCUGUCCUGCGCCGUCUUCAGGGCCGCCUUAUGGCUCUCCUCCUGUCGGCCAGUUUUUUGGCCAGGCCAUCACGUUCCUGAGCCAAGGCGUUGCACUCGGCUUCCUUGGUGCGAAGGGCGGUCUGGGCCCCACCUAGCUGCUCCCUCAAAUCGGCAUUGGCCCCUGCAGAUAUGAAGAAGAAGAAGAAAGCAAUAAGGAAGAAGUCGUCAGGAAAGAUCCGACCCGACUGCUCAGCAGUCGGCCCGAAUCUCGGGGACUACACCCAGUGGGUGCGCUGACGCGCCCCCACAUGAGAUAAAAAAUGAAGCACUUACUCCGGAUCUCAGUCAGAUCAGUGGUCUUCUGGUUCAUCUCCCGGGCCUGGGAGUUGAAGGCAGCCGCGCGGAGGUUGUGAUAGUCCUGCAAAUAGGACAAAGGUGCGAAUAAGAACAAGACAUCAAUCAAAGUCUACUAAGAAGUUCCAAGCCGCCUGCUCAGCAGCCGACUCGGAACUCGGGGACUACACCUAGUGGGUGCGCUGACGCGCCCCCACGGAAGAAAUCAAGAGCGAUCGACGAAAAGCGGGAAGACUCACCCGAAUGGCCGACCGCGUUGCAAGAAACUCUUGAGUAUACUGCUUCAGCGCGGCGGCCUAGGACUGAAGCCGGUUCCGGACGUCCUGUGCCGCCACGUUCAGCACGGCCGUCCCACCGCCCGGCGUCCACCCCAGCGAGCUGACGCUGGCCGUCUCCAGAUCCUGGGCCGACGAGCUGGAGCCCGCGGCCUUCUACGGGUCCGGCGCUGAAGUCGCCUUCCCUGCGCGCCGACGAGACGGCGACAGGACCACAAGAUCCGCCCUCACAGUCGGCUCGCCUCCAGCUGGCUGCUCAGGCGGCGCGUCAGGCCGGCUGCCUUGGCCCGUUACAGUCGGCGAUGGCGGGGCUGCAUCCCUCUCCAGGACGACUGUGUCGCCCUCCUCCCUCUCCGUCGCCGGCUGGUCGCGGUCGGCUUCCUCUGGCGGGGGCACUGGGAUAUUGGGAGCCAUGGUGCGAAGGGGGAUGAUGACCUGCGGAGGCUGGUUACGCAGGGCCUCCGCCGCCCUCUCCGCGGCCGCAGCCUCCGCUUGAGCCUUGGCUGCUGCGUCGGCUUGCGCCUCUGCCGACUCCUCCGUCGUCUCCUGAGCCACCCUGGCGGCGGCCACCCUCUGCUCCUCCGCCUCCUGCUCCUCCCGCGCCUCCCGCACGUUCCGCUCCGUCGCCGCUAGGAGAUCGGCAUAGGGGUCCACGCGGCGGGUGCUCACAGACCCUCCCGUCGCUCCAACUACGGAGGCGGCAGUGGUCCGCUCGAGAGAAAGCGGAGCCCUGUUUGAUAAGUCAAGGAAAAUGCUUAGAAGAAUGCCAACCGAAGAGAAAAAAGAAAGGCGUGAGAGAAUUGACACUUACGCUGAAACCGCAUGCGGCUGCUUCACCACCUUGCGGAAGCGGGCUGCCUUCACGGCCGCCUCGUCCCGCUUGGUCGCCGCUGCAGAACCCUUGGGCUUCUACGGCCGACUGCCAAAGAGGGCCGGCGCGGCCCGGCGUUUCUGUGCGCCACCACGAACAGCCGGCGCUGCAGAUGAGCCCACGCCUUGAUGAUCGGGCGCCAGCUGACGGUGCAGAACGACUUCGGUCUCGUCGUCAUCCGGCCAGUCCUCGAAGCUGACCCCGAGCCCGGAGUCGCCUGCCUCGCCGCCUCCCCCUACGGCGUCGUCGUCUAGAGCGGCCGCCCCCAAGUCGGGAUCGUCCAAGUCGUCCGUCGCACGGUCGGGGACGAACUGGCGCUCCACCCCCGCGGCUCCGGCCGACGGUUGAAGGAGGGGGAUCUGUAAAAAACAAGCCGACUGGUCAAGAGUUGGCCAGCAUGAACUCGGCAACAAAGAGAAGAAGAAAAGAAGGGAAGCCUACCAAAGGCGGGGGAUUGGCGCGAGAGUACGGGUCCUUGCCGAACCGCCACUCCUCGGUGAGCUUGCAGUUGGAUAUAAUUCACCAUGUAAGAUACCUCGUCAUGAGGCAUCUCCUUGGGGCUUAGCCGACUUGGGUCGAAACGACCGCUCAUCUGGCAAAUCAUGUGAGGGCGGCCUUGGAGUGGGAGCACCCGGCGAUCCACGAAGACGGCUAUCAGGUCGGACCCGGUCAGGCCUUCCGACUGGAUCAGCACCCGGAGCCGUGCGAUAGCGGCGGCACCAGCCGGCGACAGCGUCUUGGCUCGGUAGGACCACGAAGGCCGCCUCCCAGCCGGCGGGCCGGCUGCGUAAGCCGGCAGGUUGACAAAGUCGCCUUGCGGAGCGACGUUCUUCAUGUAGAAGUAAGAUUUUUGCCAGAGCUUCACCGACUGGAUCAACGCGAUGGGCGGAAACGGGUUGUCGCCCGUCGGUCUCCGCACGGCGAUGAAAGCGCCGCAUGGGGCAGGCACGCCCGCGAUGACGGUGCCAAGCUUGGACUGGAAGAAUUCCCCCCAAAGUUCGAGGGUGGGGAGGACGCCAAGGAAGCCUUCGCACAGAGUGACGAAGGCCGACAGCAGCACCACCGUGUUUGGAGUAAGGUGGUGUGGCUGGAGAUUGUAGAACUCAAGAAAGGAGCGGAAGAAACCGCUCGCCGGCAGGCCAACGCUGUGCAGGCAGUGCGAGCGAAAGAUUACCCGCUCAUCUUCCUCCGGCGCCGGCGAGAUCUCCCUCUCCGGCGCGAGACGGACCCGCACAUAAUCUGUGCCCGGCAACCGCCGCGUCUUGCGGAGGAAGUCGACGUAGUCCUCGUGGACAUUGGAGCCAUCCCAGGAGCUGGACCGCGCCAUGAGGACGGAGAGGCGACGGGAAAAGCGCGACGGCGGAGGGUGCGCGAUUCAGCUGCAGCAAAGCCACGGCGCACCGAGAAGAUUGGUGGAAGGGCGGCGCGGUGGCGAGUAGCUGUGGCGACGGAGAGGAAGAAGUGCAAGAAAAUGGCGGAGCGAGGGCGAGCGUGCGAGCGUCUGCCGCUCCCCCUCCUCCCCCUACUUAUAGCCUCGUGCGGCGAAGCCGAGGAGGCGAGGCGUGGGGGGACGUGGGAUUAACUGCGCCCACUCCCCCAUGCCCCACGAUUAUUACGCCCUAACGACGUGCGAAAAUUGUCGUCGCAAGGCGAGCGGCCCAUUUGGGCUACAGAAGAUCCACACUUGGGACGAGGCAUGGAAGUGGUGGGCCCCGGUCUGCGGCGACGUCCUGUCGGGCGCGUGGGCUGGCAGGCCCUUCCAACCGAAGGGUGCCAUGUGGCGCGCGGGCGGCGAGCGGCCAGCCCGCAGCCUGGCUUGUGCGUCAGCUGGUUCCCGCCUUCAGACUUCAAAAAACCUCGCCGAGACGGCACGCCUGAAUGAAGCCAGCUCCUAGCUGCCAGCUCUUCGGGAUAGGUAGCUGAUUGAGCUUCUCGUUCCCUGUUCAGCCACGAAGCCCAACCAGCUUCGGGGACUACUGUCGGAGUAAAUGACCACGGGUAGCCUAGCCGGCUCCCCCUGGUUCCUCAAAACAUGACGGGCCGAUCAAGCCUUCAAGCACCCAAGGCAUGGGGCCGCCUUCCCUUGGCCGGCUGUCUUACAGGCCGACUACCAGAAGGCGGCCCGGCCCUAAAACUCUCAUGAAGAAAGCCACGAGAGGGUCGACUCCAAGAAGCCGGCCACGAGAAGACCGACUCCAAGAAUCCGAACCCUGGCAAGCGGCCAAGAUCGUGCCCUCAAAGCCUGCACCCACAUAACGGUGAUGAGACGGGGCGUGGCAACAGUGAAGCCUGCCACCCCCGAAUCCCGGAGCACGCAUGGCCACAGCACGCCGUACGGGUCAGCCAUGACCCGUCCGGCGUGGCACUGUUGCCAUGCUGACCAUGACGCCACCCACGACAGGCUGUCAGUACGGCCCGCGGGCGGCGGGCCCCUUCAGUCAGAGAGACACCCGAAGGCGGCCACGCCUCCUCCAGUCGGCCUGGGACGUAGCCGGCUCUCACCAGCCGGCUCGCUCCCUCCCUCGAAGUACGCGCACCAUUAAGGAGACAAGACGAGGUAAGUGUUGGGGAACGUAGUAAUUUCAAAAAAAUUCCUACGCACACGGAAGAUCAUGGUGAUGCAUAGCAACGAGAGGGGAGAGUGUUUUCCACAUACCCUCGUAGACCGAAAGCGGAAGCGUUAGAACAACGCGGUUGAUGUAGUCGUACGUCUUCAUGGCCCUACCUAUCAAGCACCGAAACUACGGCACCUCCGAGUUCUAGCACACGUUCAGCUCGAUGACGAUCCCCGGACUCCGAUCCAGCAGAAUGUCAGGGAAGAGUUCCGUCAGCACAACGGCGUGGUGACGAUCUUGAUGUUCUACUGUCGCAGGGCUUCGCCUAAGCACCGCUACAAUAUUAUCGAGGACUUUGGUGGAGGGGGGCACCGCACACGGCUAAGAGAUCAAGAGAUCAAUUGUUGUGUCUAUGAGGUGCCCCCUCCCCCGUAUAUAAAGGAGUGGAGGAGAGGGGGCCGGCCAAGGGGGUGGCGCGCCCUAGGGGGGAGUCCAACCCCAAACGGGAGUAGGACUCCCCCCUUUCCUAUUAGGAGUAGGAGAGGGAAGGAAGAGAGGGGAGGGAAGAAGGAAAGGGGGGCCGGCCCCCCUCCCAAUUCGGAUUGGGCUUGGGGGCGCGCACCCUCCAUUGCUCCUUCUCCCUCCUUUCCACUAAGGCCCAAUAAGGCCCAUAUACCUACGGGGGGGUUCCGAUAACCUCCCGGAGCUCCGGUAUAGUCCCAAUCUCACCCGGAACCUUUCCGGUGUCCAAUAUAUCGAUCUUUAUGUCUCGACCAUUUCGAGACUCCUCGUCAUGUCCGUGAUCACAUCCGGGACUCCGAACAACCUUCGGUACAUCAAAAACCAUAAACUCAUAAUAAAACUGUCAACGAAACCUUCAGCGCCCAGACCCUAUGGGUUCGAGAACUAUGUAGACAUGACCUAGAACUGUUUCCGGUCAAUAACCAAUAGCGGAACCUGGAUGCUCAUAUUGGCUCCUACAUAUUCUACGAAGAUCUUUAUCGGUCAAACCGCAUAACAACAUACGUUGUUCCCUUUGUCAUCGGUAUGUUACUUGCCCAAGAUUUGAUCGUCGGUAUCUCAAUACCUAGUUCAAUCUCAUUACCGGCAAGUCUCUUUACUCGUUAUGUAAUGCAUCAUUCCGUAACUAACUCAUUAGCUACAUUGCUUGCAAGGCUUAUAGUGAUGUGCAUUACCGAGAGGGCCCAGGGAUACCUCUCCGACAAUCGGAGUGACAAAUCCUAAUCUCGAAAUACGUCAACUCAACAAGUACCUUUGGAGACACCUGUAGAGCACCUUUAUAAUCACCCAGUUACGUUGUGACGUUUGGUAGCACACAAAGUGUUCCUCCGGUAAACGGGAGUUACAUAAUCUUGUAGUCAUAGGAACAUGUAUAAGUCAUGAAGAAAGCAAUAGCAACAUACUAAACGAUCAAGUGCUAAGCUAACGGAAAGGGUCAAGUCAAUCACAUCAUUCUCCUAAUGAUGUGAUCCCGUUAAUCAAAUGACAACUCGUGUCUAUGGUUAGGAAACUUAACCAUCUUUGAUUUACGAGCUAGUCAAGUAGAGGCAUUCUAGUGACACUAUGUUUGUCUAUGUAUUCACACAUGUAUUAUGUUUCCGAGUAAUACAAUUCUAGCAUGAAUAAUAAACAUUUAUCAUGAUAUGAGGAAAUAAAUAAUAACUUUAUUAUUGCCUCUAGGGCAUAUUUCCUUCAGUCUCCCACUUGCACUAGAGUCAAUAAUCUAGAUUACACAGUAAUGAUUCUAACACCCAUGGAGUCUUGGUGUUAAUCAUGUUUUGCUCGUGGAAGAGGCUUAGUCAACAGGUCUGCUACAUUCAGAUCCGUAUGUAUCUUGCAAAUCUCUAUGUCUCCAACCUGGACUUGGUCCCGGAUGGAAUUGAAGCGUCUCUUGAUGUGCUUGGUUCUCUUGUGAAAUCUGGAUUCCUUUGCCAAGGCAAUUGCACCUGUAUUGUCACAAAAGAUUUUCAUUGGACCCGAUGCACUAGGUACGACACCUAGAUCGGAUAUGAACUCCUUCAUCCAGACUCCUUCAUUUGCUGCUUCAGAAGCAGCUAUGUACUCCGCUUCACAUGUAGAUCCCGCUACGACGCUUUGUUUAGAACUGCACCAACUGACAGCUCCACCGUUUGAUAUAAACACGUAUCCGGUUUGCGAUUUAGAAUUGUCUGGAUCAGUGUCAAAGCUUGCAUCGACGUAACCAUUUACGACUAGCUCUUUGUCACCUCCAUAAACGAGAAACAUAUCCUUAGUCCUUUUCAGGUAUUUCAGGAUGUUCUUGACCGUUGUCCAGUGAUCCACUCAUGGAUUACUUUGGUACCUCCCUGCUAAACUAAUAGCAAGGCACACAUCAGGUCUGGUACACAGCAUUGCAUACAUGAUAGAGCCCAUGGCUGAAGCAUAGGGAACUUCUUUCAUUUUCUCUCUAUCUUCUGCAGUGGUCGGGCAUUGAGUCUGACUCAACUUUACACCUUGUAAUACAGGCAAGAAUCCUUUCUUUGCCUGAUCCAUUUUGAACUUUUUCAAAACUUUAUCAAGGUAUGUGCUUUGUGAAAGUUCAAUCAAGCGUCUUGAUCUAUCUCUAUAGAUCUUGAUGCCCAAUAUGUAAGCAGCUUCACCGAGGUCUUUCAUUGAAAAACUCUUAUUCAAGUAUCCCUUUAUGCUAUCCAGAAAUUCUAUAUCAUUUCCAAUUAACAAUAUGUCAUCUACAUAUAAUAUCAGAAAUGCUACAGGGCUCCCACUCACUUUCUUGUAAAUACAGGCUUCUCCAAAAGUCUGUAUAAAACAAUAUGCUUUGAUCACACUAUCAAAGCGUUUAUUCCAACUCCGAGAUGCUUGCACCAGUCCAUAAAUGGAUCGCUGGAGCUUGCACACUUUGUUAGCACCUUUUGGAUCGACAAAACCUUCCGGCUGCAUCAUAUACAACUCUUCUUACAGAAAUCCAUUCAGGAAUGCAGUUUUGACAUCCAUUUGCCAAAUUUCAUAAUCAUAAAAUGUGGCAAUUGCUAACAUGAUUCGGACAGACUUAAGCAUCGCUACGGGUGAGAAAGUCUCAUCGUAGUCAACCCCUUGAACUUGUCGAAAACCUUUUGCAACAAGUCAAGCUUUGUAGACAGUAACAUUACCAUCAGCGUCAGUCUUCUUCUUAAAAAUCCAUUUAUUCUCGAUGGCUUGCCGAUCAUCGGGCAAGUCAACCAAACUCCACACUUUGUUCUCAUACAUGGAUCCCAUCUCAGAUUUCAUGGCUUCAAGCCAUUUUGCGGAAUCUGGGCUCAUCAUCGCUUCCUCAUAGUUCGUAGGCUCGCCAUGGUCAAGUAACAUGACCUCCAAAAUAGGAUUACCAUACCACUCUGGCGCGGAUCUUACUCUGGUUGACCUACGAGGUUCUGUAGUAACUUAUUCUGAAGUUUCAUGAUCAUCAUCAUUAGCUUCCUCACUUAUUGGUGUAGUCGUCACAGGAACCGGUUUCUGUGAUGAACUAUUUUCCAAUAAAGGAGCAGGUACAGUUACCUCAUCAGGUUCUACUUUUCUCCCACUCACUUCUUUCGAGAGAAACUCCUUCUCUAAAAAGGAUCCAUUCUUUGCAACAAAUGUCUUGCCUUCGGAUCUAUGAUAGAAGGUGUACCCAACAGUUUCCUUUGGGUAUCCUAUGAAGACACAUUUCUCCGAUUUGGGUUCGAGCUUAUCAGGUUGAAGCUUUUUCACAUAAGCAUCGCAGCCCCAAACUUUAAGAAAUGACAACUUUGGUUUCUUGCCAAACCAUAGUUCAUAAGGCGUCGUCUCAACGGAUUUUGAUCGUGCCCUAGUACGAUUACGACGUUCGAACACACCAUUACGCUGUGGUGUUCCGGGUGGCGUGAGUUGCGAAACUAUUCCGCAUUGCUUCAAAUGUAAACCAAACUCGAACCUCAAAUAUUCUCCUCCACGAUCAGAUCGUAGAAACUUUAUUUUCUUGUUACGAUGAUUUUCAACUUCACUCUGAAAUUCUUUGAACUUUUCAAAUGUUUCAGACUUAUGUUUCAUUAAGUAGAUAUACCCAUAUCUGCUCAAAUCAUCUGUGAAGGUGAGAAAAUAACGAUAUCUGCCACGAGCCUCAACAUUCAUUGGACCACAUACAUCAGUAUGUAUGAUUUCCAACAAAUCAGUUGCUCUCUCCAUAGUACCGGAGAACGAUGUUUUAGUCAUCUUGCCCAUGAGGCAUGGUUCGCAAGUACCAAGUGAUUCAUAAUCAAGUGAUUCCAAAAGUCCAUCAGUAUGGAGUUUCUUCAUGCGCUUUACACCAAUAUUACCUAAACGGCAGUGCCACAAAUAAGUUGCACUAUCAUUAUCAACUCUGCAUCUUUUGGCUUCAACAUUAUGAAUAUGUGUAUCAUUACUAUCGAGAUUCAUCAAAAAUAGACCACUCUUUAAAGGUGCAUGACCAUAAAAGAUAUUACUCAUAUAAAUAGAACAACCAUUAUUCUCAGAUUUAAAUGAAUAACUGUCUAGCAUCAAACAAGAUCCAGAUAUAAUGCUCAUGCUCAACGCUGGCACCAAAUAACAAUUAUUUAGGUCUAAAACUAAUCCCGAAGGUAGAUGUAGAGGUAGCGUGCCGACGGCGAUCACAUCGACUUUGGAACCAUUUCCCACGCGCAUCGUCACCUCGUCCUUAGCCAGUGUCCGCUUAAUCUGUAGUCCCUGUUUCGAGUUGCAAAUAUUAGCAACAGAUCUAGUAUCAAAUACCCAGGUGCUACUGCGAGCUCUGGUAAGGUACACAUCAAUAACAUGUAUAUCACAUAUACCCUUGUUCACCUUGCCAUCCUUCUUAUCCGCCAAAUACUUGGGGUAGUUCCGCUUCCAGUGACCAGUCUGCUUGCAGUAGAAGCACUCAGUCUCAGGCUUAGGUCCAGACUUGGGUUUCUUCUCCUGAGCAGCAACUUGUUUGCUGUUCUUCUUGAAGUUCCCCUUCUUUUUCCCUUUGCCCUUUUUCUUGAAACUGGUGGUCUUAUUGACCAUCAACACUUGAUGCUCCUUCUUGAUUUCUACCUCCGCAGCUUUUAGCAUUGCGAAGAGCUCGGGAAUUGUCUUUUCCAUCCCUUGCAUAUUAUAGUUCAUCACGAAGCUCUUAUAGCUUGGUGGCAGUGAUUGAAGAAUUCUGUCAAUGACGCUAUCAUCCGGAAGAUUAACUCCCAGUUGAAUCAAGUGAUUGUUAUACCCAGACAUUCUGAGUAUAUGCUCAUUGACAGAACUAUUCUCCUCCAUCUUGCAGCUAUAGAACUUAUUGGAGACUUCAUAUCUCUCAAUCCGGGCAUUUGCUUGAAAUAUUAACUUCAACUCCUGGAACAUCUCAUAUGCUCCAUGACGUUCAAAACGUCGUUGAAGUCCCGAUUCUAAGCCGUAAAGCAUGGCACACUGAACUAUCGAGUAGUCAUCAGCUUUGCUCUGCCAGACAUUCACAACAUUUGGUAUUGCUCCUGCAGCAGGUUUGGCACCCAGCGGUGCUUCCAGGACGUAAUUCUUCUGUGCAGCAAUGAGGAUAAUCCUCAAGUUACAGACCCAGUCCGUGUAAUUGCUACCUUCAUCUUUCAACUUUGCUUUCUCAAGGAACGCAUUAAAAUUCAACGGAACAACAGCACGAGCCAUCUAUCUACAACAAACAUAGACAAGCAAAAUACUAUCAGGUACUAAGUUCAUGAUAAAUUUAAGUUCAAUUAAUCAUAUUACUUAAGAACUCCCACUUAGAUAGACAUCUCUCAAAUCAUCUAAGUGAUCACGUGAUCCAAAUCAACUAAACCAUAACCGAUCAUCACGUGAAAUGGAGUAGUUUUCAAUGGUGAACAUCACUAUGUUGAUCAUAUCUACUAUAUGAUUCACGCUCGACCUUUCGGUCUCAGUGUUCCGAGGCCAUAUCUGUAUAUGCUAGGCUCGUCAAGUUUAACCUGAGUAUUCUGCGUGUGCAAAACUGGCUUGCACCCGUUGUAGAUGGACGUAGAGCUUAUCACACCCGAUCAUCACGUGGUGUCUGGCACGACGAACUUUGGCAACGGUGCAUACUCAGGGAGAACACUUUUAUCUUGAAAUUUAGUGAGAGAUCAUCUUAUAAUGCUACCGUCAAUCAAAGCAAGAUAAGAUGCAUAAAAGAUAAACAUCACAUGCAAUCAAUAUAAGUGAUAUGAUAUGGCCAUCAUCAUCUUGUGCUUGUGAUCUCCAUCUCCGCAGCACCGUCAUGAUCACCAUCAUCACUGGCGCGACACCUUGAUCUCCAUCGUAGCAUCGUUGUCGUCUCGCCAACUAUUGCUUCUACAACUAUCGCUACCGCUUAGUGAUAAAGUAAAGCAAUUACAGGGCGAUUGCAUUUCAUACAAUAAAGCGACAACCAUAUGGCUCCUGCCAGUUGCCGAUAACUCGGUUACAAAACAUGAUCACCUCAUACAAUAAAAUAUAGCAUCACGUCUUGACCAUAUCACAUCACAACAUGCCCUGCAAAAACAAGUUAGACGUCCUCUACUUUGUUGUUGCAAAUUUUACGUGGCUGCUACGGGCUAAGCAAGAACUGUUCUUACCUACGCAUCAAAACCACAAUGAUAGUUCGUCAAGUUAGUGUUGUUUUAACCUUCACAAGGAUCGGGCGUAGCCACACUCGGCUCAACUAAAGGUUGAGAAACAGACACCGGCUAGUCACCUGUGUGCAAAGCACGACGGUAAAACCAGUCUCGCGUAAGCGUACGCGUAAUGUCGGUCCGGGCCGCUUCAUCCAACAAUACCGCUGAACCAAAGUAUGACAUGCUGGUAAGCAGUAUGACUUGUAUCGCCCACAACUCACUUGUGUUCUACUCGUGCAUAUAACAUCAACGCAUAAAACCUAGGCUCGGAUGCCACUGUUGGGGAACGUAGUAAUUUCAAAAAAAAUCCUACGCACAUGGAAGAUCAUGGUGAUGCAUAGCAACGAGAGAGGAGAGUGUUGUCCACGUACCCUCAUAGACCGAAAGCGGAAGCGUUAGAACAACGCGGUUGAUGUAGUCGUACGUCUUCACGGCCCGACCGAUCAAGCACCAAAACUACGGCACCUCCGGGUUCUAGCACACGUUCAGCUCGAUGACGAUCCCCGGACUCCGAUCCAGCAGAAUGUCGGGGAAGAGUUCCGUCAGCACGAUGGUGUGGUGAGGAUCUUGAUGUUCUACUGUCGCAGGGCUUCGCCUAAGCACCGCUACAAUAUUAUCGAGGACUUUGGUGGAGGGGGGCACCGCACACGGCUAAGAGAUCAAGAGAUCAAUUGUUGUGUCUAUGAGGUGCCCCCCUCCCCCGUAUAUAAAGGAGUGGAGGAGAGGGGGCCGGCCAAGGGGGUGGCGUGCCCUAGGGGGGGAGUCCAAGCCCAACCGGGAGUAGGACUCCCCCCUUUCCUAUUAGGAGUAGGAGAGGGAAGGAAGAGAUGGGAGGGAAGAAGGAAAGGGGGGCCGGCCCCCCUCCCAAUUCGGAUUGGGCUUGGGGGGGCGCCCCCUCCUUUGCUCCUUCUCCCUCCUUUCCACUAAGGCCCAAUAAGGCCCAUAUACCUACGGGGGGGUUCCGAUAACCUCCUGGAGCUCCGGUAUAGUCCCAAUCUCACCCGGAACCUUUCCGGUGUCCAAAUAUAGUCGUCCAAUAUAUCGAUCUUUAUGUCUCGACCAUUUCGAGACUCCUCGUCAUGUCCGUGAUCACAUCCGGGACUCCGAACAACCUUCGGUACAUCAGAAACCAUAAACUCAAAAUAAAACUGUCAACGAAACCUUAAGCGUGCGGACCCUACGGGUUCGAGAACUAUGUAGACAUGACCUAGAACUGUUUCCGAUCAAUAACCAAUAGCGGAACCUGGAUGCUCAUAUUGGCUCCUACAUAUUCUACGAAGAUCUUUAUCGGUCAAAUCGCAUAACAACAUACGUUGUUCCCUUUGUCAUCGGUAUGUUACUUGCCCGAGAUUUGAUCGUCGGUAUCUCAAUACCUAGUUCAAUCUCGUUACCGGCAAGUCUCUUUACUCGUUAUGUAAUGCAUCAUUCCGUAACUAACUCAUUAGCUACAUUGCUUGCAAGGCUUAUAGUGAUGUGCAUUACCGAGAGGGCCCAAAGAUACCUCUCCGACAAUCGGAGUGACAAAUCCUAAUCUCGAAAUACGUCAACUCAACAAGUACCUUUGGAGACACCUGUAGAGCACCUUUAUAAUCACCCAGUUACGUUGUGACGUUUGGUAGCACACAAAGUGUUCCUCCGGUAAACGGGAGUUACAUAAUCUCAUAGUCAUAGGAACAUGUAUAAGUCAUGAAGAAAGCAAUAGCAACAUACUAAACGAUCAAGUGCUAAGCUAACGGAAUGGGUUAAGUCAAUCACAUCAUUCUCCUAAUGAUGUGAUCCCGUUAAUCAAAUGACAACUCAUGUCUAUGGUUAGGAAACUUAACCAUCUUUGAUUUACGAGCUAGUCAAGUAGAGGCAUUCUAGUGACACUAUGUUUGUCUAUGUAUUCACACAUGUAUUAUGUUUCCGGGUAAUACAAUUCUAGCAUGAAUAAUAAACAUUUAUCAUGAUAUGAGGAAAUAUAACUUUAUUAUUGCCUCUAGGGAAUAUUUCCUUCAGUAAGGCUACAGUGGGAGCCCGCCAGGUGGCGGCACUGUAGCCAUGCUUACCUCGACAAAGCCCUCGUCAUCAAGAGUGAGGCAACAGUAACCAGCUCCUGACAAGACCCCCAAGCGGUGGGACCUGCCUGUCGACCAAAAGGCCGGCAGCCGGCGGGACCCACCAGUCGACGUGCCCCAGCGGCUGACGGAGAAGCCGGCGAACAUAGACACUGACGGCUAGGGCCCACGCCCAGCCGGAUUACCAUUGUACCCCUGGGGGGUAGGCCUAUAUAAACCCCCAGGGCACCCAUGCAAAGGGUGGAUCUCUGAUAGUUUCACACACUUCAUUGAGGGGAGAAAAGAGCUAGCCUUGCCCUUCUUCCUCCUCUCACCGAACAGCUCAAGGAGCCUCUUGUAGCCACUUGUUGAUCUAGUGAUCAUGCGGAGACCCCGCAGAGCAGGAUUAGGGGUGUUAUCUCCACGGAGAGCCCCAAACCUGGGUAAGAUCCGCCGGCGUGCAUGUCUUCGCCUCAUCCCGUUUCCAGGCACCGGCGAUGUCUUAUUGGCUCCCACAAUGAUAAGCCACCCGUUGGCAUAUGUCGCACCUACCACCCGACACUUGCACAUGAACUACAUCAUCGGGGUUGAGCAGAUAUCUCAUAUCUCUGUCGCUAACCCGUACUACAUGCACAAGGGCUUCUUGGGAGUCUGCGCAAAGCAUGGUGAAUACGCGAGGGAUUACAUCGUGAGUUUCAUGCUCGCCAAUAAGGACAAGGAGGAGAUUCUCGUGCCUUAUCAUCCCGUGUAAGUCAGCCGCGCUGCUAUCCUUCCUUCGAUUUCAAUCAUUCAUUUGCACGGUGGAGGCUAAUUAAUUUGAGGUGUACUUAUUUUGCGCAGCGGCGGGCGCGCCGUCCUCAUCAUCCUCUACCCCUGAUUCUCCCACGCUCUUUACUUGGACUCAUCGAAGAACAUUCACAAAAAGGAUUACACCCACAUCAAGGAUGUUCUCGACAGUGCUAUGUUUUACUACCAAGCAAGGGGUGGAGAGGUCAGGGACAAGAAGAGAAGGGGCGGCAGGGUCGCCUUCAGCCAUAAGACCGACUUCUGCUGCAUCCAGCAACCGAACGAUUCUCUUAAUGAUGGAUUCUAUGUCCUACACCACAUGCUGGAGUACAGACGGGAUCACCAGAACCUUCGCAUGUCACCUAGAUCCGGCGAUGCCCAUAUUCUGCAACGGGCAAAGGACAUAGGAGAUAUCGAGGAUCAUCGACUUCGAGCUGAGUUCUAUAACAUCCAGCACGAACUUGCCCAAAUCAUCAUGAAGGAGGUCGUCGGAAAAACAGGGAUGUUCUACGGAGAAGGACAAAUGUCGCGGGAAGACGUCUGAACAUGGAUAGCCUCUCAGCGUCUCGACAUGAAGCCUUUCACUAAGCUCGAGGACUAUCUCCCUGACAUGGAUGGAUGGCACGACAUGGUGGAGUGAUUGUCGAUAUAUGACAAUGUGUCCGUUUGUCCAUACUUUCUGUGUGACAAAACUUUGAGUUAUGCACGGUGAAACUUUAUUUGUGAUGUAAUUAAACCGUCCUCCUCCUCGACUAGCGAAAAUCACUCUAGUUAGGACAUUUUGGGUACGAUGAACUUUGUUAUUUAUGCUUAUGAUAUGUUGUUUCUAUUUUUGCCAAGUCUGUCUCUUUCUGUUGCUCAACUAUAUAUGUUGCAUAUCAUCGACUCAUGUGACGAUGCAGGUGCAUAGAUCAUAGAUGGCAAAGAAGUGCUACUCCAGGAGUAUAUAUACGACGAGUGGCCGGAGUGUCAGGCCCAGGUGUACCGGUUUCCGGUUUCCGAGCGACAGGCAGUAGUUAGUUUAGGUUCACGCUAAUGCGAGAGAGGGAUACGAACUCAUGUACUCAAAGUGAUAGCUCUUCUCGCGUAUAUCAUUGUUUAGAUGGAUGACGAUGUAUUUGCAAGUAAUCGAGACUUGUAUCGCUAUUUUCGAGAUGAUGACGAGAGACCACUUUGUGCUGGAUGAUGAUUAUGAUGAUGACAUGAUUUGAUGAGACUAAUUGUAUGUAUAUGCUAUGAUUACAUUUGUAUGUGUAUGAUAUGCUAAAGAUUAUUGUAUAAAGCUUAUUCAAAUACAAAACAAAUAUGUAGGGAAAAAAACUAAUAAAACUAGUAGUAGCGAGGGGGGAAAAUUUAGCAGUAGCGCCGCCUUACCAGUAGCGCUUCCCUGUAAACAGCGCCGCAGAUAAUAUCAGCAGCGCCCUUUUCUAAAGAGCGCUACAGCUAUUCAUGUAUAGCAGUAGUGUGAGACAACAGGCGCUACUGCUAUACGUUAGCUGUAGCGCCUUGUUAGUAGCGUCAGUUCCCGCGCUACUAAGAGGCCCAAAACCCGCGGUGCUGCUAGGCUUUUCCCUAGUAGUGUAGGAGUGCUAGCUUAGCAGCUUUAAUUCUCUUACUAGCAGGGCAGAGGCGCGGCGUGCCCAUCGUUGAUCAAAUUGUAACUUAAUCUAUUAUUGAUCGAGUCUGCUACCAUAUUGUAUUGUGUUUUCAUAGGUAACUUUUGUGUAAAUUUCUGGUGAGCAGGUAUAUACUUAUGGCUAGAUUGUAUGCUUGUGUGAGAAAGGUACAAUAGAUAAUCUGGAUUGUUUAAUUCGAUUACAUAGCUAGGUGCAUACAUGUGUGUAUGAACAUAGAAAUACAAUAAAAGAAGAUCAUAUUAUGUGCAGGCAAGAAGAAAUUUGUGGUUUGAGAGAUUUCUCGAUUUCUACAUUUUCAUAAGGGGUGGAGAGCAGCCACGGGAGGGAUGGGGGAAGCAAUUGGAGGGGGAUAGGAGCAGCCAUGAGAAGAGACAAAUGAACAACGGGAGAGGAAAAUAGAGAAGCUAUUGCUCGAGGAAGUGUACUGGGUGAAGAUAAGAGAAUGAAGAGAGCUUGAGGUACUCAAAAAACUCACUCGUGUCACCGCUGCCGAUGCAAAGGGUUUACACCCUCGCUGGGGAACUUGACGGUGUUGCACGUUCUAAUCCAUCGGGAGGGAAUCAAGAAGGAGUGCCGCUAGAAGAAAAUCGAUCGGGAGAGGAGCCGCCAGGGUUUGGGGAAUGGUAGGCUGCAUCGUGCUACGAUGUUGCCUCACCCUUGUCCUUUCCGUGUUCUCUUGGCUGCGGAGAUGCGAAGACGAAGGCAUGGUCCAUAAGGGCCGAGGCACAUUCAUACUCGGUGGAGACCUUGGAUAGCGGAUUAAGAUCCAACCCAUGGCGACGAAAGAAUUCAGACCAAACUAUUCUAGUGGAGAGAGGUGGGAGGAGACCGGGAGAGAAAGUGGAAGCGGAAUCGACGGGUGUUUUUUAGAGGAAGUAGCACGUGUAACACAAGGCGGUGCCACCGAAAGUUGGAUGUAGUCUCUAAAAUACUUCAUGUAGUUGUCUAUGGUAGUUUCUAAGAAAAUGAACUGACUACGAACAUAUAAAACAUAAAUUGAGGUACUUUGAUAGUAACCCUAUAACAGAAAUUGAAAAAAAUCAAAUUGUAUACAAUAAUGUCGAUAUAAUCACCGUAUACACCUGUUUAAUUAUAAGUACACUUUAUACUGGAAUUUAUGAAGACUUUACACUGCAACCAAAAUAGAAGGACCUAAUUUUUUUCCUGGCCUCGUUGAAUGGCGUCUCAACGCAAAAUUUUGCAAAAAAGUAGAAGGGUUUCUCACCUUUGAUGUAAUAUCUUUUUUAGUUCUUUUGGUAAUUUUAUCUAAAAAGGAAAAAAUGAAAGUAUUGUUCACACAAUAGUACUAUUCACCCACAAUUAUUGUUUCCCAGAAAAGUGAUGUAAUAUAUAUUUUUAGUUUUUGGUAAUUUUAUCUUAAGGGCAUCUCCAAAGCUGACCUGCAAAUAUCUUUGGUAUAUGUCUGUUUUUAUAUUCGGAUGUGGUCCGCGGACAUGAUGCGGGAGGGAAUCAUCCAAUGCUAAUCACAUAGUAUCUGGUUGGUAGGAGAAAAGGUAUAGGUGGGGAUCAUGUCCGCGGACAUGAUGCGGGAGGGAGCCGUCCAAUGCUAAUCACACGGUAUCCGGUUGAUAGGAGAAAAAAUAGGUGAAGACCAUGCAUGUGGUAGGAUAUUUCUGGUUUAGUGUCUGGUUGGGAAGAGAGAUAGAGGAGAGAGAGACCAUGCAUGUGCAGUUGGGAGGAGAGAGAGAAGAUAUGGACCAUGCAUGUGAUUAGUCAAGUGCAUGUCCGGACUCCGGCAAAGCCCCAUGUUUGUCUCUUAGAUACCGGAAUCCACCGCUAAGCGGAUAUAUACAUGUUUUUGUUGGAUGAAAAAAGUGGUCCGGACGCUGUGGUCCAGACAUAUAGUGGGGGUUUGAGGGUUGUUUUGCGUCCGGACUGCUAAGCUGACAAAUACAGGUUUUUGUUGGAUGACAAAACUGAUCCGAACACUGUGAUGCGGAUAUAUAGUGAAGAUUUGAAGGUUCGUUUUGGACAUUUUUUAAAAAGGGUUGUGAAGGUACUGUUCACAAACAAUAGUGUACGCCCAUAAUUUCUAUUUAUCCACUAUUACCGUUCAUACGAAUGUACUUUCACUAGGUUACUAUUUCUUUUUAACAUUAAUACAGACGCAAGCCCUCAUACAUACGUGCAUACACUCAUCCCUAUGAACGCACACACGUACACCCUACCCCUAUGAGCACCUUCGAGAGACUGGGUCGGCAUGUCAUCUUAAAAUUUACGAAGUCACCUAGGCACCUCAUCGUCGACGGGAACGUCUCCUUCCACUGAAAGCACGUCGCCGAAAAUUCUGAAAUAAAUUCAGAAAUAAAGUGAGCACAGAAUUUAAACCCACUGUCACUUUAACCAUCCAACCACAACAUACACGUGCAUGCCGGGAAAAGCCCCGGCCACAACGGCCAUCGCACGAGAGGAGCUCCUCCUUGACCACAAGGAGAGAGUUUGUUCAUUCAAGACUUGUUUCAGUCGUAACGAAAAGCAAUAAAGCAUGGCAUUGCGCUGUGGCGCCACUGAUAUACGAUCGGCCCCGGUCUCCUUGAUGUGUUGAGAGGAAAUGAGGACACAUCAGCUCGGGCAUGUAUGGGAACUUGGGACCAAGAUACAGCAUCGCACAUGAGGCCCCUUUGCUCCUUUGUUGUUAGUGUUGGCCAUGUCACACGAUGGUGUUGUCCUACAGAAAACGCAAAAGCACAAGGUGGUGUGGGCGUUGGCAAGUGGGGCGCGGGGCCCUGCCUGCUUGUUCUUCGGAUUGCAUGCCAACUAGUGCCAAGUCAUACCUUAUUUUUCCUACUACUUAGGCCAACUCCAGCGCGCCUGUCCAUUCCAUUUGGGUUGAAUCGGACAGAAACGCUAGCCCAACGCACCACCGUAAACGGACGGAUGUUCGUUGUACAGUCUGCCGCUACCAUUUCCGACCCAAAAUUUGGGUUGGAUUUGCGUCGACGCGCACACGGCACUAAUGCGUGCGACGCCCUCCCUUGUCCUUCUCCCUGGGCCGCUUGUCGGUGGCACGUCGUCCAUUCUUCCCCUCCCCCUCAACACUCGACUCCCCUAGCCUCGCUGCCGCAACCCACUUCCGGCGCUUUGAUGUCUACUACGCAGCCUUUUUUAGACUCGUGUUGGGCCUCGAAGCACAUAUUUUGUACAACGGUAGCAAAUUUCUCUCAAGUGGAUGACCUAAGAUUUAUCAAUCUGUGGGAGGCGUAGAAUAAAGAUGGUCUCUCUCAAACAACCCUGCAACCAAAUUACAAAUAGUCUCUUGUGUCCCCAACACACCCAAUACAAUGGUAAAUUGUAUAGGUGUAUUAGUUCGGCGAAGAGAUUGUGAUACAAGUGUAGUAUGGAUAGUAGAUAUAGGUUUUUGUAAUAUGAAAAAUAUAAAAACAGCAAGGUAACUAGUAACAAAAGUGAGCAGAAACGGUAUUGCAAUGCUUGAAAACAAGGCCUAGGGUUCAUACUUUCACUAGUACAAAUUCUCUCAACAAUGAUAACAUAAUUAAACCAUAUGGAAAUCCCUCAACGUGCAACAAAGAAUCACUCCAAAGUUCCUAUCGGAGAACGUAGGAAGAAAACGUGCAUCAACCCCUAUGCAUAGAUUACCACAAUGUCACAUUGGGAAUCCGCAAGUUGAGUGCCAAAACAUAUAUCAAGUGAAUCAACAGAACAUCCCAUUGUCACCACAGAUAUCUCAUCGCAAGACAUAUAUCAAGUAUUCUCAAAUCCAAUACUCAAUCCAACAUAACAAAACCUCAAUUCAUCACAACAAGAGAUGGAGGGGAAGAAACACCAUAUGAUCCAACUACAAAAAAAGAGCUCAUGGUACAUCAAGAUCGUGCCAAAUAAAGAACACGAGAGAGUGAUCAAACACAUAGCUACUGGUAUAUACCCUCAGCCCCGAGGGUGAACUACUCCCUCCUCGUCAUGGAAACCGCCGGGAUGAUGAAGAUGGCCUCCGACGAUGAUUUCCCCCUCAGGCAGGGUGUCAGAACGGGCUCCCGAUUGGUUUUUCGUAGCUACAGAGUUUUGCGGCGGCGGAACUUCUGAUCUAGAGUUCUUUUCGGAAGUUUCUAUAUUUAUCAGAAUUUUUGGUGUCAGAAACAAUAGGGGGGGUGCCCGAGGGGCCCACAAGCCCUCAGGGCGCGCCCCCUGGCUUGUGGUCUCCUCUGGACUCUUCUGGUCCAGCUCCGGUGCUUCGGGGGUCUCUUUUGGUCCAUAAAAAACCACCGUAAAUUUUCAGCUUGUUUGGACUCCGUUUGAUAUUCCUUUUCUGUGACUCAAAAACAAGGGAAAAAAAUAGAAACUAGCACUAGGCUCUAGGUUAAUAGGUUAGUCCCAAAAAUAAUAUAAAAUAGCAUAUUAUUGCAUAUAAAACAUCCAAAACAGAAAUAUAAUAGCAUGGAACAAUCAAAAAUUAUAGAUAUGUUGGAGACGUAUCUAGCAUUUCCAAGCUUAAUUCCUACUCGUCCUCGAGUAGGUAAAUGAUAAAAACGGAUUUUUUAUGUGGAAUGCUACCUAACAUAUUUAUCAAAGCAAUCUUGUUUAUUGUGGCAUGAAUAUUCAGAUCCAUAAGAUUCAAAACAAAAGUUUAAUAUUGACAUAAAAACAAUAAUACUUCAAGCAUACUAAUAAAGCAAACGUGUCUUUUCAAAAUAACAUGGCCAAAGAAAGUUAUCCCUAUAAAAUCAUAUAGUCUGGUUAUGCUCCAUCUUCAUCACACAAAGUAUUUCAUCAUGCACAACCCCGAUGACAAGCCAAGCAAUUGUUUCAUACUUUUAAUGUUCUCAAGCUUUUUCAACUUUCACGCAAUACAUGAGCGUGAGCCAUGUAUAUAGCACUAUAGGUGGAAUAGAAUAUGAUGGUUGUGGAGAAGACAAAAAGAGGAGAUUGUCUCACAUCAAUUAGGCGUACCAAUGGGCUAUGGAGAUGCCCGUCAAUAUAUAUCAAUAUGAGUGAGUAGGGAUUGCCAUACAACGGAUGCACUUUAGAGCUAUAAGUUUAUGGAAGCUCAAAAAGAAACUAAGUGGGUGUGCAUCCAACUCGCUUGCUCACGAAGACCUAGGACAAUUUUGAGGAAGCCCAUCAUUGAAAUAAACAAGCCAAGUUCUAUAAUAAAAAAUUCCCACUAGUAUAUGAAAGUGAUAACAUAGAAGACUCUCUAUCAUGAAGAUCAUGGUGCUACUUUGGAGCACAAGUGUGGAAAAAGGAUAGUAACAUUGUCCCUUCUCUUUUCUCUUAUUUUUUUAAUUUUUUGGCUCUUUGGCCUCUUUUUUCUUUAUUUUCUUUUUUAUAUGGGCUUAUUUGGCCUCUUUUAUUUUCUAAAGUCUGGAGACUCAUCCCAACUUGUGAGGAAAUCAUAGAUUCCAUCAUCCUUUUCUCACAUGGGACAAUGCUCUAAUAAUGAUGAUCAUCACACUUUUAUCUACUUACAACUCAAGAAUUACAACUCGAAACUUAGAACAAAAAGGAACGGUGGAAGUUGCAUGGCAAUAUAUCUCGGAAUGGCUAUGGAAAUGCCAUAAUAGGUAGGUAUGGUGGCUGUUUUGAGGAAGGGUAUAUGGUGGGUGUUGUGCACUGGCGAAAGUUGCAUGGUACUAGAGAGGCUAGCAAUGGUGGAAGGGUGAGAGUGCGUAUAAUCCAUGAACUCAACAUUAGUCAUAAAGAACUCACAUACUUAUUGUAAAAACCUAUUAGUCAUCGAAACAAAGUACUACAUGCAUGCUCCUAGGGGGAUAGAUUGGUAGGAAAAGACCAUCGCUCGUCCCCGACCGCCACUCGUAAGGAAGACAAUCAAAAGAUAAAUCAUGCUCCGACUUCAUCACAUAAUAGUUCACCGUACAUGCAUGCUACGGGAAUCACAAACUUUAACACAAGUAUUUCUACCAAUCCACAAUUACUCACUAGCAUCACUCUAAUACCACCAUCUUUAUAUCUGAAAAUAAAUGCAAGGAAUCAAACUUCUCAUAGAUUCAAUACUCUUUAGAUGAAAGUUUUUAUUAUAUCCCUCUUGGAUGCCCAUCAUAUUAGGACUAAAUUCAUAACCUAAGAAAAUUACAAUGUUGUUUAAGACUCUCAAAAUAAUAUAAGUGAAGCAUGAGAGUUCAUCAAUUUCUAUAAAAUAAAACCACCGCUGUGCUCUAAAAAUAUGUAAGUGAAACACUAGAGCAAAUUGCCUAGCUCAAAAGAUAUAAGUGAAGCACAUAGAGUAUUCUAAUAAAUCACGAUUCAUGUGUGUCCCUCUCAAAAGGUGUGUACAGCAAGGAUGAUUAUGGAAAACUAAAAAGCAAAGACUCAUAUCAUAAAAGACGCUCCAAGCAAAACACAUAUCAUAUGGUGAAUAAAAAUAUAGCCUCAAGUAAAUUUACCGAUGGAUUGAAGACAAAAGAGGGGAUGCCAUCCGGGGCAUCCCCAAGCUAAGAUGUUUGGUUGUCCUUGAAUACUACCAUGGGGUGUCUUGGGCAUCCCCAAGCUUAGGCUCUUGCCACUCCUUAUUCCGUAGGCCAUCAAAAUUUUACCCAAAACUUGAAAACUUCACAAGACAAAAACUCAACAGAAAACUCGUAAGCUCCGUUAGUAUAAUAAAGCAAAUCACCACUUAGGUACUGUUGUGAACUCAUUCUAAAUUUAUAUUGGUGUUAUAUCUACUGUAUUCCAACUUCUCCAUGGUUCAUACCCUCCAAUGCUACCCAUAGAUUCAUUAAAAUAAGCAAACAACACAAAGAAAACAGAAUCUAUCAAAAAUAGAACAGUCUGUCGCAAUAUGGAAACUUCGUAUACUUCUGUAACUCCAAAAAUUCUGAAAAAUUAGGAAAAUAUAGGCACUUUGUACAUACAUCCAGUGUAAAAAAUUCAGCUCAAAAGCAUGCUUCUGUGAAUUUCUAAAAUUCUGGCAAUGAGCACAAAAGUUUCUGUUUUUCAGCAAGAUCAAAUCAACUAUCACCAUAGACCAUCCCAAAGGUCAUACUUGGCACUUUAUUGAAACAAAAACUAUAAAACAUGAUUACUACAGUAUAAUAAUCAUGUGAACACACCAAAAACAGUAGGUAUAAAUAUUGGGUUGUCUUUCAACAAGCGCUUUUCUUUAAUGUCUUUUUAGCUAGUCAUGAUGAUUUCAAUGAUGCUCACAUAAAAGAUAAUAAUUGAAACAUAAUGGGAGCAUCAUGGAGCAUAUGACUAACACAUUUAAGCAUAACCCACUUCCUAUGCCUAGGGGUUUUGUGAGCAAAUAAUUUAUGGGAACAAGAAUUAACUAGCAUAGGAAGGUAAAACAAGCAAAACUUCAAGAUUUUCAACAUAAAGAGAGGAAACUUGAUAUUAUUAAGAUAUGAAAAAGCAUAUGUUCCCCUCUCAUAAUAAUUUUCAGUAGCAUCAUGAAUGAAUUCAACAAUAUAACUAUCAUGUGAGGCAUAAUCCAAUUGAAAAUUAAAAUUAUGAUGACAAGUUUCAUGGUUAUCAUUAUUCUUUAUAGCAUUUAUGUCAUCACAAUAAUCAUCAUAGAUGGCAACUUUUUUAUCAUAGACAAUUGAAACCUCUUCAAAAAUAGUGGAUUCAUCACUAAAUAAAGUCAUGACCUCUCCAAAUCCACUUUUAUCAAUAUUGUGAAAAGAUUCAACACCCUCCAAAAUAGUGGGAUCAUUACUUCCUAAAGUUGACACUCUUCCAAACCAACUUUCAUCAAUAUAAUCAUCAUAAAUAGAAGGCAUGCUAUCAUCAAAAUAAAUUUGCUCAUCAAAACUUGGGGGGCUAAAAAUAUCAUCUUCAUCAAACAUAGCAUCCCCAAGCUUGUAGCUUUUCAUAUCAUUAGCAUCAUGGAUAUUCAAAGAAUUCACACUAACAACAUUGCAAUCAUGCUCAUCAUUCAAAGAUUGUGUGGCAAACAUUUAUUGCAUUCUUCUUCUAACAAUUGGGAACAAUUUUCCUUUCCAUCAUUUUCACGAAAAACAUUAAAAAGAUGAAGCACAUGAGGCAACCUCAAUUCCAUUUUUUUUGUAGUUUUCUUUUAUAGAGUAAACUAGUGCUAAAACAAGAAACUAAAAGAUUCAAUUGCAAGAUCUAAAGAUAUACCAUGAAGCACUCACCUCCCCGGCAAUGGCGCCAGAAAAGAGCUUGAUGUCUACUACGCAACCUUCUUCUUGUAGACUCGUGUUGGGCCUCCAAGCGCAGAGUUUUGUAGGACAGUAGCAAAUUUCCCUCAAGUGGAUGACCUAAGGUUUAUCAAUCCGUGGGAGGCAUAGGAUGAAAAUGGUCUCUCUCAAACAACCCUGUAACCAAAUAACAAAGAGUCUCUUGUGUCCCCAACACACCCAAUACAAUGGUAAAUUGUAUCGGUGCACUAGUUCGGCGAAGAGAUGGUGAUAUAAGUGUAGUAUGGAUAGUAGAUAUAGGUUUUUAUAAUAUGAAAAUAUAAAAACAGCAAGGUAACUAGUAACAAAAGUGAUCACAAACAGUAUUGCAAUGCUUGAAAACAAGGCCUUGGGUAUAUACUUUCACUAGUGCAAUUUCUCUCAACAAUGCUAACAUAAUUAAACCAUAUGGAAAUCCCUCAACAUGCAACAAAGAAUCACUCCAAAGUUCCUAUCAAAGAAUGUAGGACGAAAACGUGCAUCAACCCCUAUGCAUAGAUUACCCCAAUGUCACCUCGGGAAUCCGCAAGUUGAGUGCCAAAACAUACAUCAAGUGAAUCAACAAUACAUCCCAUUGUCACCACAGAUAUCCCAUCGCAAGACAUACAUCAAGUGUUCUCAAAUCCAAUACUCAGUCCAACAUAACGAACCCUCAAAGAGCAAGACUCAAUUCAUCACAACAAGAGAUAGAGGGGGAAGAAAUACCAUAUGAUCCAACUAUAAUAAUAAAGCUCGCGGUACAUCAAGAUCGUGCCAAAUCAAGAACAUGGGGGAGUGAUCAAACACAUAGCUACUAGUGCAUACCCUCAGCCCCGAGGGUGAACUACUCCCUCCUCGUCAUGGAGACCGCCGGGAUGAUAAAGAUGGUGCUUUCCGUAAGAUGCUUGCUAAGUAUGAUGUCAAUCAUAGAAUCACAUCUCCUUGUCAUCCGCAGUCUAGUGGUCAAGUAGAGUUGAGCAAUAGAGAGCUCAAAUUAAUUUUUCAAAAGACUAUGAAUAGAUCUAGAAAGAAUUGGUCCAAAAAACUUGAUGAUGCGUUAUGGGCCUAUAGAACUGCAUACAAAAAUCCUAUGGGUAUGUCUCCUUAUAAGAUGGUUUAUGGAAAAGCGUGUCAUUUACCUCUUGAACUUGAACAUAAGGCAUAUUGGGCUAUUAAAGAGCUCAACUAUGACUUCAAACUUGCCGGUGAGAAGAGGUUGUUUGAUAUUAGCUCACUUGAUGAAUGGAGAACCCAAGCCUAUGAGAAUGCCAAGCUUUUCAAAGAAAAAGUCAAACGCUGGCAUGAUAAGAGGAUACAAAAGCACGAGUUUAACGUAGGAGAUUAUGUGUUAUUAUUCAACUCUCGUUUAAGAUUUUUUGCAGGAAAACUUCUUUCAAAAUGGGAAGGUCCCUACGUUAUCGAGGAGGUCUAUCGUUCUGGUGCUAUAAAAAUCAACAACUUAGAAGGCACAAAUCCGAGGGUGGUAAACGGUCAAAGAAUUAAACAUUAUAUUUCAGGUAAUCCUACCAAUGUUGAAACUAAUAUUAUUGAAACCGUAACCCCUGAGGAAUACAUAAGGGACACUUUCCAGAACGUUCCAGACUCCGAAAAGGUAUAGGUAUGUGAUACGGUAAGUAAACCGACUCCAAAACAACUCCAAUGGCAAUUUUUAUCAGUUUUGGAAUAUUUAAGAAUUUUAGGAAGAAAGAAGUAGUCCGAAAGGGACACGAGGCUCCCACGAGAGAGGAGGGCGCCCCCCCUGUAGGGCGCGCCCCCUGUCUCGUGGGCACCUCGUGUGCCUCCCGGACUCCGUUUUCUUGCACGUUACGUAUUUUGGUCGGUAAAAAUUCAUUAUAUAUACUCCCGAAGGUUUUGACCACCGUAUCACGCAAAUAUCCUCUGGUUUCGUUUCGAGCUGUUUCUGUUGCAGAUCUAGAGCACCAUGACUUCACCCUCCUCCAACAACGAAGACAAGGAUGCUUGGCUAUUGAAGAUAGAGCUGAAAAGAGAAGAACUAGAAGAGAUCAACAAGGAUGAAGGGAUCAAGAAGGCCAUGGAGGUUCAAGUGCCGGCGGUGAAAGAAGAAGACAUCCCUCAACCUUUACCUAACCUUUUCACUCCAACAGAGAUCGAAGCUUCCAAGAUGAUUGAGUUAGCUCGCAUACAGAACAAAUAUCUUACACAGGAGAAUAUUCUGUUGAAGGAUCAUAUCGCCGGACUCAAGGGCAUUAUCCGCAAGUUGGAGGAGCUUUUACGCUCGAUGUGCGAUUAUCCACCGUCAUCAUCACCACCUCCAUCACCUGCGAGGACAUAAUCACAUGAGUAUGGGCACUCCCCUUGGCAACUGCCAAGCUUGGGGGAGGUGCCCCGGUAUCGUAUCACCAUCACACUCCUAUCUUUACCGCUUUAUUUAGUUCGAUCCUUUUAGUAGUAUCUUGAUCUAGUAGAUUGAAGUUUUGAUAUCAAGUAGUUUUGAGUUUUGCAUUGUGAUCUCUUUUUGUAAUCGAGUCCGUGAGCUAUCUAUAAUAAAGAUUAGUGUUGAGUCGAGGGCUUUGCCAUGUUGCUAUGAUCUUGAGAAAGUAGAAAGAAUAAAAGAGUUCAUAUUGAUCUUGUGGAUAGUGAUGACUUCACACAUAGAAAGUAUGAGGCAUAAAAAUUGUUGAGAGUUGAUAAACUUAGCCUUGGUCAUCGUUGCAAUUAAUAGGAAGUGAUACGGAAAGAGGGGUUCACAUAUAAAUAUAUUGUCUUGGACACCUUUUAUAAUUGGGAGCACUCAUUAAGUAUGACAUGCUAAAAGAGUUGACGUUGGACAAGGAAGACAACGUAAUGGUUUAUGUUUUCCGACAUCUCAGUUAAAGUAUAUUGUCAUUGACCUUCCAAACAUGUUGAGCUUGCCUUUCCCCCUCAUGCUAGCCAAAUUCCUUGCACCAAGUAGAGAUACUACUUGUGCUUCCAAAUAUCCUUAAACCCAGUUUUGCCAUGAGAGUCCACCAUACCUACCUAUGGAUUGAGUAAGAUCCUUCAAGUAAGUUGUCAUCGGUGCAAGCAAUAAAAAUUGCUCUCUAAAUAUGUAUGACUUAUUAGUGCAGAGAAAAUAAGCUUUGUACGAUCUUGUUGUGGAAGUAAUAAAAGCGACAGACUGCAUAAUAAAGGUCCACAUACAAGGGGCAAUAUAAAGUGACGUUCUUUUGCAUUAAGAUUUUGUGCAUCAACCCUAAACGCGCAUGACAACCUCUGCUUCCCUCUGCGAAGGGCCUAUCUUCUACUUUAUGUUUUUACUUUAUGCUUGAGUCAAGGUGAUCCUCACCUUUCCCUUUUUCAUUUUAUCCUUUGGCAAGCUCUUCGUGUUUGAAAGAUCAUGAUAUAUAUAUAUAUCCAAUUGGAUGUAAGUUAGCAUGGGCUAUUAUUGUUGACAUCAUCUAAAGGUGAAUACGUUGGGAGGCAACACAAUAAGCCCCUAUCUUUCUCAGUGUCCGGCUGAAACUCCAUAACCACAAGUAUUGCGUGAGUGUUGGCAAUUAUAGAAGACUACAAGAUAGUUGAGUAUGUGAACUUGCUGAAAAGCUCUAUUGUUGACUCUUUCUAAUGUUACGAUAAAUUGCAAUUGCUUCAAUGACUGAGAUUAUAGUUUGUUAGUUCCCAAUGAAGUUUUUGAACCAUACUUGACAUUGUGAAUUGAUUGUUACUUGAGCAUAAGAAAUCAUAUGAUAAAAUCUAUUUAUGUUGCUGCUAUAAGAAUGAUCAUGAUGCCCUCAUGUCCGUAUUUUAUUUUUAUCGACACCUCUAUCUCUAAACAUGUGGACAUAUUUUUCGAGCUCGGCUUCCGCUUGAGGACAAGCGAGGUCUAAGCUUGGGGGAGUUGAUACGUCCAUUUUGCAUCAUGCUUUUAUAUCAAUAUUUAUUGCGUUAUGGGCUGUUGUUACACAUUAUAUCUCAAUACUUAUGGCUAUUCUCUCUUAUUUUACAAGGUUUACCAUGAAGAGGGGGAAUGCCGGCAGCUGGAAUUCUGGCUGGAAAAGGAGCAAACAUUGGAAACCUAUUCUGCACAGCUCCAAAAGUCUUGAAACUCCACGAAACAACUUUUUGGAAUUAAUAAGAAUUUUUGAGCGAAAGAAAUACUCCAGGGGGCCCACACCCUGUCCAGGAGACAGGGGGCGCACCCCCUAUAGGGCGCGCCCCCUAUCUCCUGGGCCCCCUGGUGGGCCUCCGGUGUCCAUCUUCUGCUAUAUCAUCGCUUUUACCCUGGAAAAAAUUGUUCGAAAUAUGCCCUAGAGGCAAUAAUAAAAUGAUUAUUAUUAUAUUUCCUUGUUCAUGAUAAUUGUCUAUUAUUCAUGCUAUAAUUGUGUUAUCUGGAAAUCGUAAUACAUGUGUGAAUACAUAGACCACAACAUGUCCCUAGUGAGCCUCUAGUUAACUAGCUCGUUGAUCAACAGAUAGUCAUGGUUUCCUGACUAUGGACAUUGGAUGUCAUUGAUAAUGGGAUCACAUCAUUGUCCUAAUGAUGUGAUGGACAAGACCCAAUCCUAAGCAUAGCACAAGAUCGUGUAGUUCGUUUUGCUAGAGCUUUUCCAAUGUCAAGUAUCAUUUCCUGAGACCAUGAGAUCGUGUAACUCCCGGAUGCCGUAGGAGUGCUUUGGGUGUACCAAACGUCACAACGUAACUGGGUGACUAUAAAGGUAUACUACAGGUAUCCCCGAAAGUGUCUGUUGGGUUGACACGGAUCGAGACUAGGAUUUGUCACUCCGUAUGACGGAGAGGUAUCUCUGGGCCCACUCGGCAAUGCAUCAUCAUAAUGAGCUCAAAGUGACCAAGUGGUUGGUCACGGGAUCAUGCAUUACGGUACGAGUAAAGUGACUUGCCGGUAACGAGAUUGAACAAGGUAUUGGGAUACCGACGAUCGAAUCUCGGGCAAGUAACGUACCGAUUGACAAAGGGAAUUGUAUACGGGAUCACUUGAAUCCUCGACAUCGUGGUUCAUUCGAUGAGAUCAUCGUGGAACAUGUGGGACCCAACAUGGGUAUCCAGAUCCCGCUAUUGGUUAUUGGCCGGAGAGUCGUCUCGGUCAUGUCUGCAUGUCUCCCGAACCUGUAGGGUCUACACACUUAAGGUUCAGUGACGCUAGGGUUGUAGAGAUACUAGUAUGCGGUAACCCAAAAGUUGUUUGGAGUCACGGAUGAGAUCCCGGACAUCACGAGGAGUUCCGGAAUGGUUCGGAGGUGAAGAAUUAUAUAUAGGAAGUCCAGUUUCGGCCAUCGGGAAAGUUUCGGGGGUCACCGGUAUUGUACCGGGACCACCGGAAGGGUCCCGGGGGUCCACCGGGUGGUGCCACCUAUCCCGGAGGGCCCCAUGGGCUGAAGUGGGGAAGGGAACCAGCCCCUGGUGGGCUAGUGCGCCCCCCUUGGGCCUCCCCUGCGCCUAGGGUUGGAAACCCUAGGGGUGGGGGCGCCCCACUUGACUUGGGGGGCAAGUCCCCCCUUGUCCGCCGCCCCCCUUGAGAUGGGAUCUCUAGGGGCCGGCGCCCCCCCAGGGCCCCUAUAUAAAGAGGGGGAGAGGGAGGGCUGCGCACCCUUGCUCCUGGCGCCUCCCUCUCCCCUCCGCAACACCUCUCCCUCUCGUAGAGCUUGGCGAAGCCCUGCCGAGAUCGCCGCUACUUCCACCACCACGCCGUCGUGCUGCUGGAUCUCCAUCAACCUCUCCCUCCCCCUUGCUAGAUCAAGAAGGAGGAGACGUCUUCCCCAACCGUACGUGUGUUGAACGAGGAGGUGCCGUCCGUUCGGCGCUAGGAUCUCCAGUUAUUUGGAUCACGACGAGUACGACUCCCUCAACCCGGUUCUCUUGAACGCUUCCGCGCGUGAUCUACAAGGGUAUGUAGAUGCACUCCUCUCUCUCGUUGCUAGAUGAUUCCAUAGAUUGAUCUUGGUGAAGCGUAGAAUUUUUUUAUUUUCUGCAACGUUCCCCAACAGUGGCAUCAUGAGCUAGGUCUAUGCAUAGUUUCUAUGCACGAGUAGAACACAAACUUGUUGUGGGCGUAGAUGUUGUCAAUUUUCUUGCCACUUCUAGUCUUAUCUUGUUUCGGCGGCAUCGUGGGAUGAAGCGGCCCCGACCGGCCUUACACGUACGCUUACAUGAGACGGGUUCCACCGACUGACAUGCACUAGUUGCAUAAGGUGGCUAGCGGGUGUCUGUCUCUCCCACUUUAGUCGGAUUGGAUUCGAUGAAAAGGGUCCUUAUGAAGGGUAAAUAGAAAUUGGCAUAUCACGUUGUGGUUUUACGUAGGUAAGAAACGUUCUUGCUAGAAACCUAUAGAAGCCACGUAAAAACAUGCAACAAAAAUUAGAGGACGUCUAACUUGUUUUUGCAGCAUAUGCCUUGUGAUGUGAUAUGGCCAAAAGGAUGUGAUGAAUGAAAUAUAUGUGAUGUAUGAGAUUGAUCAUGUUCUUGUAAUAGGAAUCACGACUUGCAUGUCGAUGAGUAUGACAACCGGCAGGAGCCAUAGGAGUUGUCUUUAUUUUUGUAUGACCUGCGUGUCAUUGAAUAACACCAUGUAAAUUACUUUACUUUAUUGCUAAACACGUUAGCCAUAGAAGUAGAAGUAAUCGUUGGCGUGACAACUUCAUGAAGAGACGAUGAUGGAGAUCAUGAUUAUGGAGAUCAUGGUGUCAUGCCGGUGACGAAGAUGAUCAUGGCGCCCCGAAGAUGGAGAUCAAAGGAUCAAUAUGAUAUUGGCCAUAUCAUGUCACUAUUUGAUUGCAUGUGAUGUUUAUCAUGUUUUGCUUCUUAUUUGCUUAGUACGACGGUAGUAAAUAAGAUGAUCCCUUGUAAUAAUUUCAAGAAAGUGUUCCCCCUAACUGUGCGCCGUUGCGAAAGUUCGUUGUUUCGAAGCACCACGUGAUGAUCGGGUGUGAUAGAUUCUAACGUUCACAUACAAUGGGUGUAAGACAGAUUUACACAUGCAAAACACUUAGGUUGACUUGACGAGCCUAGCAUGUACAGACAUGGCCUCGGAACACAAGAGACCGAAAGGUCGAACAUGAGUCGUAUGGAAGAUAUGAUCAACAUGGAGAUGUUCACCGAUGAUGACUAGUCCGUCUCACGUGAUGAUCGGACACGGUCUAGUUGAGUCGGAUCAUGUAUCACUUAGAUGACUAGAGGGAUGUCUAAUCUGAGUGGGAGUUCAUUAAAUAAUUUGAUUAGAUGAACUUAAUUAUCAUGAACUUAGUCUAAAAACCUUUGCAAAAUGUCUUGUAGAUCAAAUGGCCAACGCUCAUGUCAACCUCAACUUCAACGCAUUCCUAGAGAAAACCAAGCUGAAAGAUGAUGGCAGCAACUAUUCGGACUGGGUCCGGAACCUGAGGAUCAUCCUCACAGCUGCCAAGAAAGCAUAUGUCCUAGAAGGACCGCUAGGUGAAGCACCCAUCCCAAAGAACCAAGACGUUAUGAACGCUUGGCAGUCACGUGCUGAUGAUUACUCCCUCGUUCAGUGCGGCAUGCUUUACAGCUUAGAACCGGGGCUCCAAAAGCGUUUUGAGCAACACAGAGCAUAUGAGAUGUUCGAAGAGCUGAAAAUGGUUUUCCAAGCUCAUGCCCGGGUCGAGAGAUAUGAAGUCUCCGACAAGUUCUACAGUUGUAAGAUGGAGGAACAUAGUUCUGUCAGUGAGCACAUACUCAAAAUGUCUGGGUUGCACAACCGCUUGUCCCAGCUGGACAUUAACCUCCCGGACGAGGCGGUCAUUGACAGAAUUCUUCAGUCGCUCCCACCUAGCUACAAGAGCUUUGUGAUGAACUACAAUAUGCAGGGGAUGGUGAAAACUAUUCCUGAAGUAUUUUCAAUGCUGAAAUCAGCGGAGGUGGAAAUCAAAAAGGAAUAUCAAGUGUUGAUGAUCAAUAAAACCACUAGUUUCAAGAAAGGCAAGGGUAAGAAGAACUUCAAGAAGGACGGCAAGGGAGUUGCCGCGCCCGGUAAGCCAGUUGCCGGGAAGAAGCCAAAGAAUGGACCCAAACCUGAGACUGAGUGCUUUUAUUGCAAGGGAAAGGGACACUGGAAGCGGAACUGCCCCAAAUACUUAGCGGACAAGAAGGCCGGCAACACUAAAGGUAUAUGUGAUAUACAUGUAAUUGAUGUGUACCUUACCAGUACUCGUAGUAGCUCCUGGGUAUUUGAUACCGGUGCGGUUGCUCAUAUUUGUAACUCAAAGCAGGAGCUGCGGAAUAAGCGGAGACUGGCGAAGGACGAGGUGACGAUGCGCGUCGGGAAUGGUUCCAAGGUCGAUGUGAUCGCCGUCGGCACGCUACCUCUACAUUUACCUACGGGAUUAGUUUUAAACCUCAAUAAUUGUUAUUUAGUUCCAGCUUUGAGCAUGAACCUUGUAUCUGGAUCUCGUUUAAUACGAGAUGGCUACUCAUUUAAAUCCGAGAAUAAUGGUUGUUCUAUUUAUAUGAGAGAUAUGUUUUAUGGUCAUGCCCCGCUGGUUAAUGGUUUAUUCUUGAUGAAUCUCGAACGUGAUGUUACACAUAUUCAUAGUGUGAAUACCAAAAGAUGUAAAGUUGAUAACGAUAGUCCCACAUACUUGUGGCACUGCCGCCUUGGUCACAUUGGUGUCAAACGCAUGAAGAAGCUCCAUGCUGAUGGACUUUUGGAGUCUCUUGAUUACGAAUCAUUUGACACAUGCGAACCAUGCCUCAUGGGAAAAAUGACCAAGACUCCGUUCUCCGGAACAAUGGAGCGAGCAACCAACUUAUUGGAAAUCAUACAUACUGAUGUGUGCGGUCCAAUGAGCGUUGAGGCUCGCGGAGGCUAUCGUUAUGUUCUCACUCUCACUGACGACUUGAGUAGAUAUGCGUAUGUCUACUUGAUGAAACACAAGUCUGAGACCUUUGAAAAGUUCAAGGAAUUUCAGAAUGAGGUAGAGAAUCAACGUGAUCGAAAGAUAAAAUUCUUACGAUCAGAUCGUGGGGGAGAAUAUUUAAGUCACGAAUUUGGUACGCACUUAAGGAAAUGUGGAAUCAUUUCACAACUCACGCCGCCUGGAACACCUCAGCGUAACGGUGUGUCCGAACGUCGUAAUCGCACUCUAUUGGAUAUGGUGCGAUCUAUGAUGUCACUCACCGAUUUACCGCUAUCAUUUUGGGGAUACGCUCUAGAGACAGCUACAUUCACUUUAAAUAGGGCAUCGUCUAAAUCCAUUGAGACGACGCCGUAUGAAUUAUGGUUUGGGAAGAAACCUAAGCUGUCGUUUCUAAAAGUUUAGGGAUGCGAUGCUUAUGUCAAGAAACUUCAACCUGAAAAGCUCGAACCCAAGUCGGAAAAAUGCGUCUUCAUAGGAUACCCUAAGGAAACCAUUGGGUAUACCUUCUACCUCAGAUCCGAAGGCAAGAUCUUUGUUGCCAAGAACGGGUCCUUUCUAGAGAAAGAGUUUCUCUCGAAAGAAGUAAGUGGGAGGAAAGUAGAACUUGAUGAAGUACUAUCUCUUGAACCGGAAAGUAGCGCAGCUCAGGAAGAUGUUCCUGUGGUGCCUGCACCGACUAGAGAGGAAACUAAUGAUGAUGAUCAAGGUACUUCAGAUCAAGUUACUACUGAACUUCGUAGGUCCACGAGGACACGUUCCACACCAGAGUGGUAUGGCAACCCUGUCCUGGAAAUCAUGUUAUUAGACAACGGUGAACCUUCGAACUAUGAAGAAGCGAUGGCGGGCCCAGAUUCCAACAAAUGGCUUGAAGCCAUGCAAUCCGAGAUAGGAUCCAUGUAUAAAAACAAAGUAUGGACUUUGACAGACUUGCCCGAUGAUCGGCGAGCGAUAGAAAACAAAUGGAUCUUUAAGAAGAAGACGGACGCGGAUGGUAACAUUACCAUCUAUAAAGCUCGACUUGUCGCUAAGGGUUAUCGACAAGUUCAAGGGGUUGACUACGAUGAGACUUUCUCUCCCGUAGCGAAGCUGAAGUCCGUCCGAAUCAUGUUAGCAAUUGCCGCAUACUAUGAUUAUGAGAUAUGGCAAAUGGACGUCAAAACGGCAUUCCUUAACGGCCAUCUUAAGGAAGAACUGUAUAUGAUGCAGCCAGAGGGUUUUGUCGAUCCUAAGAAUGCUAACAAGGUAUGCAAGCUCUAGCGCUCCAUCUAUGGGUUGGUGCAAGCAUCUCGGAGUUGGAACAUUCGCUUUAAUGAAAUGAUCAAAGCGUUUGGGUUUAUGCAGACUUAUGGAGAAGCCUGCGUUUACAAGAAAGUGAGUGGGAGCUCUGUAGCAUUUCUCAUAUUAUAUGUGGAUGGCAUACUUUUGAUGGGAAAUGAUAUAGAACUUUUGGACAGCAUUAAGGCCUACUUGAAUAAGUGUUUUUCAAUGAAGGACCUUGGAGAAGCAGCUUACAUAUUAGGCAUCAAGAUCUAUAGAGAUAGAUCGAGACGCCUCAUAGGUCUUUCACAAAGCACAUACCUUGAUAAGAUAUUGAAGAAGUUCAAUAUGGAUCAGUCCAAGAAGGGGUUCUUGCCUAUGUUACAAGGUGUGAAAUUGAGCUCGGCUCAAUGUCCGACCACGGCAGAAGAUAGAGAAAAGAUGAGUGUCGUCCCCUAUGCCUCGGCCAUAGGGUCUAUCAUGUAUGCCAUGUUGUGUACCAGACCUGAUGUAAACCUUGCCGUAAGUUUGGUAGGAAGGUACCAAAGUAAUCCUGGCAUGGAACACUGGACAGCGGUCAAGAAUAUCCUGAAGUACCUGAAAAGGACUAAGGAUAUGUUUCUCGUUUAUGGAGGUGACGAAGAGCUCGUCGUAAAGGGUUACGUCGACGCUAGCUUCGACACAGAUCUGGAUGACUCUAAGUCACAAACCGGAUACGUGUAUAUUUUGAAUGGAGGGGCAGUAAGCUGGUGUAGUUGCAAGCAAAGCGUCGUGGCGGGAUCUACAUGUGAAGCGGAGUACAUGGCAGCCUCAGAGGCAGCGCAUGAAGCAAUCUGGAUGAAGGAGUUCAUCACCGACCUAGGAGUCAUACCCAAUGCGUCGGGGCCGAUCACACUCUUCUGUGACAACACUGGAGCUAUUGCCCUUGCCAAGGAGCCCAGGUUUCACAAGAAGACCAGGCACAUCAAGCGUCGCUUCAACUCCAUUCGUGAAAAUGUUCAAGAUGGAGACAUAGAUAUUUGCAAAGUGCAUACGGAUCUGAAUGUCGCAGAUCCAUUGACUAUACCUCUUCCGCGAGCAAAACAUGAUCAACAUCAGAACUCUAUGGGUGUUCGAUUCAUCACAAUGUAACUAGAUUAUUGACUCUAGUGCAAGUGGGAGACUGUUGGAAAUAUGCCCUAGAGGCAAUAAUAAAAUGAUUAUUAUUAUAUUUCUUUGUUCAUGAUAAUUGUCUAUUAUUCAUGCUAUAAUUGUGUUAUCCGGAAAUCGUAAUACAUGUGUGAAUACAUAGACCACAACAUGUCCCUAGUGAGCCUCUAGUUAACUAGCUCGUUGAUCAACAGAUAGUCAUGGUUUCCUGACUAUGGACAUUGGAUGUUAUUGAUAACGGGAUCACAUCAUUAGGAGAAUGAUGUGAUGGACAAGACCCAAUCCUAAGCAUAGCACAAGAUCGUGUAGUUCGUUUUGCUAGAGCUUUUCCAAUGUCAAGUAUCAUUUCCUUAGACCAUGAGAUCGUGUAACUCCCGGAUGCCGUAGGAGUGCUUUGGGUGUACCAAACGUCACAACGUAACUGGGUGACUAUAAAGGUAUACUACAGGUAUCCCCGAAAGUGUCUGUUGGGUUGACACGGAUCGAGACUGGGAUUUGUCACUCCGUAUGACGGAGAGGUAUCUCUGGGCCCACUCGGUAAUGCAUCAUCAUAAUGAGCUCAAAGUGACCAAGUGGUUGGUCACGGGAUCAUGCAUUACGGUACGAGUAAAGUGACUUGCUGGUAACGAGAUUGAACGAGGUAUUGGGAUACCGACGAUCGAAUCUCGGGCAAGUAACGUACUGAUUGACAAAGGGAAUUGUAUACGGGAUUACUUGAAUCCUCGACAUCGUGGUUCAUUCGAUGAGAUCGUGGAACAUGUGGGAGCCAACAUGGGUAUCCAGAUCCCGCUGUUGGUUAUUGGCCAGAGAGUCGUCUCGGUCAUGUCUGCAUGUCUCCCGAACCCGUAGGGUCUACACACUUAAGGUUCGGUGACGCUAGGGUUGUAGAGAUACUAGUAUGCGGUAACCCGAAAGUUGUUCGGAGUCACGGAUGAGAUCCCGGACGUCACGAGGAGUUCCGAAAUGGUCCGGAGGUGAAGAAUUAUAUAUAGGAAGUCCAGUUUCGGCCAUCGGGAAAGUUUCGGGGGUCACCGGUAUUGUACCGGGACCACCGGAAGGGUCCCGGGGGUCCACCGGGUGGGGCCACCUAUCCCGGAGGGCCCCAUGGGCUGAAGUGGGGAAGGGAACCAGCCCCUGGUGGGCUAGUGCGCCCCCCUUGGGCCUCCCCUGCGCCUAGGGUUGGAAACCCUAGGGGUGGGGGGGCGCCCCACUUGACUUGGGGGGCAAGUCCCCCCUUGGCCGCCCCCCCCCCUUGAGAUGGGAUCUCUAGGGGCCGGCGCCCCCCAGGGCCCCUAUAUAAAGAGGGGGAGAGGGAGGGCUGCGCACCCCUGCUCCUGGCGCCUCCCUCUCCCCUCCGCAACACCUCUCCCUCUCGUAGAGCUUGGCGAAGCCCUGCCGAGAUCGCCGCUACUUCCACCACCACGCCGUCGUGCUGCUGGAUCUCCAUCAACCUCUCCCUCCCCCUUGCUGGAUCAAGAAGGAGGAGACGUCUUCCCCAACCGUACGUGUGUUGAACGCGGAGGUGCCGUCCGUUCGGCGCUAGGAUCUCCGGUGAUUUGGAUCACGACGAGUACGACUCCCUCAACCCCGUUCUCUUGAACGCUCCGCGCGUGAUCUACAAGGGUAUGUAGAUGCACUCCUCUCUCUCGUUGCUAGAUGACUCCAUAGAUUGAUCUUGGUGAAGCGUAGAAAUUUUUUUAUUUUCUGCAACGUUCCCCAACAAAAAUCGUGGGCAAGCUUACGGGACGAAACUCCGCCGCCACGAGGUGGAACCAAUCUAGGGCUCUGGCGGAGCUGUUCUGCCGGGGACACUUCCCUCUGGGAGGGGGAAAUCAUCACCAACGUCAUCACCAACGAUCCUCUCAUCGAGAGGGGGCCAAUCUCCAUCAACUUCUUCACCAGCACCAUCUCCUCUCAAAACCCUAGUUCAUCUCUUAUAUCCAAUCUUGUAUCAAAACCACAAAUUAGUACCUGUGGGUUGCUAGUAGUGUUGAUUACUCCUUGUAGUUGAUGCUAAUUGGUUUACUUGGUGAAAGAUCAUAUGUCCAGAUCCUUUAUGCAUAUUAUUACUCCUCUGAUUAUGAACAUGAAUAUGCUUUGUGAGUAGUUACGUUUGUUCCUAAGGACAUGGGUGAAGUCUUGCUAUUAGUAGUCAUGUGAAUUUGGUAUUCGUUCGAUAUUUUGAUGAGAUGUAUGUUGUAUUUUCCUCUAGUGGUUAUAUGUGAACGUCGACUACAUGACACUUCACCAUUAUUUGGGCCUAGAGGAAGGCAUGGGGAAGUAAUAAGUAGAUGAUGGGUUGCUAGAGUGACAGAAGCUUAAACCCUGGUUUAUGCGUUGCUUCGUUAGGGGCUGAUAUGGAUCCAUAUGUUUAAUGUUGUGGUUAUGUUUACCUUAAUACUUCUUUUAUAGUUGCGGAUGCUUGCAAUAGGGGUUAAUCAUAAGUGGGAUGCUUGUCCAAGUUAGGGUAGUACCCAAGUACCGGUCCACCCACAUAUCAAAUUAUCAAAGUACUGAACGCGAAUCAUAUGAACGUGAUGAAAACUAGCUUGACGAUAAUUCCCAAUGUGUCCUCGGGAGCUCCUUUCUCAUUAUUAGAAAUUGUCCAGGCUUAUCCUUUGCUACAUAAAGGAUUGGGCCACCUUGCUGCACUUUAUUUACUUUAUUUACUUGUUACUCGUUACCAUUUAUCUUAUCACAAAACUAUCUAUCACCUACUAUUUCAGUGCUUGCAGAGAAAACCUUACUGAAAACCGCUUAUCAUUUCCUUCUGCUCCUCGUUGGGUUCGACACUCUUACUUAUUGAAAGGACUACGAUUGAUCCCCUACACUUGUGGGUCAUCACUGCUCUUGCCCUUCCCGACGCCCUUGUCGUCCUUCUCGCGGAAGUACCAGUCGAAGACGCGGUAGGGAGCGAGUCGGAUCUGCUCGUCGCCGGAGCUAUCCUCGAUGUCGCUGUCCUCGCCGUCGCUGCCUCCUUCAGCGGCAGUCCGGCCAUGGCAUGGACCGGCCGAUUCUGCUCUCGGGCCAGGGUGCGCGUGUUCUUCCGCUGCCAUUUCUUCACAAUGCAGGCGCGGAUGGCUUCCUCCUCUGCGGCCACCCGCGCCGCCGCAUCAGCCGCCUCCGCCGCCACCAUUUCCGCCGCGAUACGGGCCUCGGCGGCCCUUAUCCUCUCCUUCCCACGGCGGGCCGCUCGUUCCCGGUGGGACUCAUAGUCUGCCUGAUCCGGUGAUGAGGAAGGAGAGAUUUUCCGGUUGCCGGGACCACGAUGAUCCAGCCCCAAAGGACCCGAGCGCCCAUUGAGUUGACGCUAUGGUGUCGCGCCGGACAGAUCCGUCCGUCGGCUGGGUGCUGUCCACCCGGGAGCGGCGGAGUGCAAUGUGAACCACCAUUGCCUCCUCCAACUCGCACGGGAUGACACCUCAAUCGGCGGGUUCGGGUUAGUCGGAGUCAGAUCCGUUGCCCGCCAUGCUGGAGACGGUCGGAAAUCACCGGAGGUGAGCUCGGGUGGCUGAGGGAGUGGAGUGAAGAGGAGAGUGGAGUGGCUAUGGUUUCGUCCGACACUGAUGGGGACGAAUAUAUGUGGGUCGGGUGGACCAGUUUGGGUCGGGACCGACAUGACGGGCGCACUCGGGCGUCCCAUAUACGCCCCAUUUUUGGGCUGGAUAUGAGGGGUGCCGGUCAGCUGUUUGAGGCCCGUUUGAGGUGUCCGGCUGGAUCGAAAUUUCGUGACCUGUUAGUAACGGGCGGCUCAACCGGGCGUUUGAGGAGGGUUUGGGGUGUCUGGUUCUAGAUGAUCUAACAAAACAAAUCUAAGACGUUUUGACAGUUUAUAUUGAGCUGCCAAACUUCUUACGUGUGUGUUUCCACGAUUGGAAUGAGGCCCGGAGUCUAAAUGCUUGUUUGGCCUGAUGCUAGAUCCACAUUUCAAUUGGUUUUCACGAUGACCGUGACGCUUAUGCAGACAAAAUGUCACCUUCCAACUUUUAUCGUUUGACUUGCUCUUGUACAACAUAUAUUUUGGUUCUACCUUCAUUUUCAAAGAAUCCGUGGAAUGGAAACUUUGUUUCAACAGCCCUCCAUGAACCGAUCGCCUUUUGUUGUGUGCGCGUGUGCUCUUGUAGUAGCUGCGAUGGAUCUGUGACUCGGAGAGUUGAAUCGGUCAUGGAAAAUGAACCAAAGCCCUACGCGAAUUGGACCGGCGUGCUCUUGGCCGCGGACGUGGAUGCGCAAUGCGUCACGCGGUCUGUCCGCCAGAGCGCGCUCCGAGCGCAGCAGUUGGCGCCUCCGGUGCGUGUGUGCCAAGACGCAGCCAUCCGCCACAUCGUUUCUGAUUCCCAAUAAGCAAAGCGAACGCAACGCACAAGGCAGAAGGCAGAAGGCAGAAGGAAAGAAAAAAACAUUGGAAACCGCAAAAUAAACAGAGGCUUUGGUGUAUUGGACGACGGCUCUGCUGUGCUGUCUGUGCUCGUGCCCGUCCAGCUUUUUCGCCGUGGCACGGUUCAGAAUUUAGGAGGUUUGAUCGAGCGACGGGAUCCCGACUUUAUUCGGGAAUAUUUUAGCAGCAGAAAAGAUUGGGAGGACUACUACUAGUACUGCCGGCAUUGGCGUCCAUGUCGAGAUCCGUGAGGAAGGGAGGGGAGGGGAGAGAGCAAUGGAGGAGUCCUAGGCCUGUCGUUUCCCUAGGGCUCUGUGCAAGAUCAGGUGACGGAAUGUCCCUGGGAUCAAUAAUUUUGUCCCUUGCCGGGUCUGGGUCUCCACUCUUGGAUCAUCCGAUACAACUCCUUUUUUUUUUUUGAAGCAUAUCCGAUACAACUCCUACUACUACUGGUCUCCAACGAUAGAGGAGGAGUUUCUUUCCUUUUUCUCCCGCAAAAAAAAAGAAUCUCUAGGAAAUAAAAAAUAUGAGCAAAGGAAAGUUGUAAGUAGAGAUUUCCAACUGGCAAAGAAAUUCACCCUUUACCAUAGUUUAAGAUUCAAAAUUUCAAAAAGUUGUAGUAAGGCAGAAGUAGGAAAGGAAUUACCGGUCGGGUUUGGAUCACAGCUAGCGAAUGGGCCCAGCUUCCCCCGAACCAUAUUAUAGGACUAGAAAAUCUCGCCCUCCUCUCCACCCACCUCCCUCUCUCUCUCCUCGCAAGUUGCGAUUCCCAAAUCCCAAUGCCACCUCGCAAUUAACACCUCCUGCGGCGGCACACAGCCUGCCUCCACCCCCGCGCGCCCUGCCAUCGCCCCCCCGGCCGGCGCCCAUGACGUCAUCAUCGUCGCACCACCACGACGCCUCCUCGGCCACCUCCACCCCCCGCGCCGGGGCCGGCAGCACCACCAGCAGCAACGGCAACGGCAACGGCGGCGGCGGCAGCCACCACCACCCGCCUCCUCCGCGUGCGCAGCCGCACGGGGCAGCGUGCGUGCGCCUCAUGUGCAGCUUCGGCGGCCGCAUCCUGCCGCGCCCGGGCGACCACCAGCUCCGCUACGUCGGCGGCGAGACCCGCAUCGUCUCCGUCCCGCGCACCACCUCCCACGCCGUCCUCUUCGCCGCGCUCGCCAAGCUCGCCCCCGCGCUCUUCGUCCCCGGCGAGCCCACCCCGGCGCUCAGGUACCAGCUCCCGCACGACGACCUCGACGCGCUCAUCUCCGUCUCCUCCGACGACGACGUCGACAACCUCAUGGAGGAGCUCGACCGCGUCCACAGCCUCGCCGCCACCGCCAUCAAGCCGCCCCGCCUGCGCCUCUUCCUCUUCGCCGCCUCGCCGGACCACCCCUCCGCGGGCGCGUUCGGCUCCGUGCUCUCCGGCGUCGGCGACGCCUCCUCCGACCAGUGGUUCGUCGACCAGCUCAACGCCCCGCCGCCCGGUUCCAUCGAGCGCGGCCGAUCCGAGGCCUCCUCGAUCGUCUCGGAGGUCCCGGACUACCUCUUCGGCUUCGACACGACCUCCGAGGAGCCCAGCCCCGGCGCGGGUGCGCAGCCCAAGUCUGACGCGGAGGUGGCGCAAGGCGACGAUGACGACGACGCGCCGGCUCCCGUGCUGGGCGCUCCUCUGGUGCCAUACGUCCCGGAGAGCGCCCCGUGGCCGGCCCCGCCUCCACCGUACAUGGCGCAGCCGGUGUACUACGUGCCUGUGCGCCCGGUCCACUACCUCAACGCGGCUGCGCACGGCGGCUACAUGCCCGGGCCGGUUUACCACAUUGUCGGUGGAGGGAGAAACGAAGGCCCGGGAGAUCUCUACUCGUCUGGGGGCGUCGGUGGCGUCUACGGCGUCCCCCGCUCCAUGCCGCCAUUCCGUCAGGUGAUGUACGCGCCGCCACCCGCCACGGAAGCCUACUCGGUGGAGGGGAAGCCGCCGGAAGGUGAGUCUCACUCCCCGUAGGCGCAAGGGGAGGAAGAGCCAUGGCCGCAUGGGCUGUUCCUGGAGCUGGUUGAUUCUGAUGAUCGCUUAUAUCUGAGCUAAGAUUUUUGCAUUGCCGUGGUAAAUGUUCACUGUUUCUGCUGGGGUUACUCUUGGUAGCUGUAUAGAUGAGGGAGGUGGAGGAUGGAUGGGUCAUGGAUAUCACAAUUUUCGUCGAGUGAAAUAGAUUCUUGAAUUGUUAUUAUGUGAGUACAUUUGGUGUGAUUAGUACUAGCAAGUUUACUGUAAUGUGGGAUUGGAUUCUCUUCAUAUAUAUUCUACUAGAAGAUUUUUUAUCUGCGAAACACAAUGUUUCUGCAUUUUGUAUUCAUAUGCUUGAUGCUGGAUGUAUCAUGGUCCAUGAAUGUCCUAUAUAUCUACUCGAGCUUUGAUGCGAAUGUUUGCGCAUUUGUUCUCGUGAAAGCUUAAUUUACUGAAUUCGCUCUA